CCGCUCCCAGACCUUCAUGGUAUGACUUAUUAAUUUGAUACCCCUAUAGUUGUUGCAGCACUGGAUGUCACCUUUGUUAUUGUACAAGGGCACCACUGUACUCCACCUCCACUCAUUCGACAUCCUUUUGGUCCUGAAGAUCGCAUUGAACAACCUGGAAAGUCACUCCACUCCUGACCUACCCAUGCAUUUCCAGAACUCCACCGGGAUCUCGUCAGGCCCGGUCGAGUGUAGUGACAAAUGUAGCUCAUAAUUUGAUCUACAGUGCAGGUUUAAAUCCAAGGUGUAGCUUUUUUUGCAUUUUUUAAACAAAAUUCUCCAAAUAAACAAAAGAAACACAGUACCUGAGCAAUCAGGGGAGGCAUUUCUAGUAUGUUUUUAGCACCAGGAAUGUCAUAAACAAGCUUGCCAAGUGUAACAGGAUCAGGCUUAGUAAUAUCACCAAUGUCUUCUAUACUACAAUUUGCUUCUGCCUCAACAUAAACUGCCCCUUCUCCACUGCAGUUAACUAUAAGUUUCCCUUCUUGUUCUUCUAUGCUACAAUUUGCUUCUGCCUCAACAUAAACUGCCCCUUCUCCACUGCAGUUAACUAUAAGUUUCCCUUCUUGGCUGAUUGUCAAUCUCCCUGCAAGUGGAUAGUAAUGAACAAGAACCUUUGAUAAAGCUUCCUUGAUCACUUCAACAGCAUCCUCAUUUCCUUUUUCCUCUGAUUUGAAGCAGUAAAUUGUUCGGACGGGGACGGCUAUGUUCUGAUCAAGAUUUGAAAGGUAAUAUAGUCCCUUGUCUGUUUCCUCUGCUGGAGAAACCAAAGUCGGUUCUCCUUGCUUCACAAUGAGCUCAACAGCAACAUGGUUUUUACCAUUCUCCAUUUGGCAAGUUCAAAAAUCCUGUAUAAAAUAAAAAGAAAAUAACGUUAAAGGUAUUUUAAGUGGCAUGGCAUGAAACCAUUAGUAGAGAAUAAAGUGUAUCAAAAAAUAAAAAGUACCUAUGAGACAGGAAUUUGCAAUUAAUGUUCUGAUUUUGAGACUUAGAAUGGUGUACUUGUUGGUGUGGAGAUAGAUGAAUACUGGAAAUAUUUAUAUAGCAAAUGCAUGAGUAGAAUAAUUGGCUAUUUGUUGAGUAUUGGUUAACAAAGAUGUACUACUGAAAAGGACUGCAGGAGCUGUUUUUAUAUUUAAAGCUAUUCAUAAGCUGUCUUAAUGGUGGAGGAGAAGACUAACCCCAAAAAAAUGUAGUUCUAAUUUUAUUUUUAUUUUAUUUUUGAAGUGUUUGCUUUGAAAAAUGAGUUCUAAGAAAGAUUUUGCUAUUGUCAUGUGGGUGUGGUAGGCUACUGGCCCUAAAACCAAAUGUUACCAAUUUACAAUAUCUGGCGUAAGGACUGAAGGAAACACUGGUAGAGUUUGGUAGAGUUGGCCUCCAAAUUCAGCUGAUGACUGGAAUUGGUCUAAUAUUUUAUACAGCAAUAGGUCAUAUUUUCAGAUAUAGCAGCUUCUAUCAUUUUGAAUCCUCUCUCUUAAAAUUAUGUUCUCAUCUAGAAAAAGACGACCGCGACGAUGACAACAACAACAAAAACAUGCGUAAUCUUACAAUGUGGAUCUGGGGAGUAUAGUGUGUACGCAUACCUUAUUCCUACCUUGUAAAUGUAGAGGGGUUGUUUCCGAUAAACUCUCGGCUCAAGAAGUAGAUUUUGAUUAAAUCCUCCAUGCAAAUAUAGUUCUUUUUACUUGAGGCAAUCACUGUGUAAUGCAGAGGUAACAUGGACUUGAAGUUACUUUUUUCUUGCAAUAGAAGGUUUAAGAGUUUAGUACUAAAAUGGGUAAUCAACAUAGUAAUAUUUACAUUACGUAAUUCAAGGGGAAUGGGACCAUGAUCUUUUGACUUAUUUUAUGGUUUUCAUGUAACCAAGUUGUACUCUUUGUUGAUUGUUAGUGUUUUAUAUUAUCAUGGACCUCACGCCGAGUUCGAGUUUUGUGUGGACGUUUAAAAAUUGUUCUUUUUAGUUUUUUGUGUUUUCACGCAUAAGAGAUCUAAAUUUAAAAUACCAAAGAUUUUUGUUAGGUCAUAUUCUUCUAUUCAAGGCUAUGUUCAUCUAUUUCUCUGUGUGGAGUGUGAAUGGUACCUGCAAAUUGCUUGGAAUUUCUCAUGCAUUAUAUGAGUUCUGAGGUCCACGCAUAAAGAUGAAUUACUUUAUUAAUCAGCAGAAAUGAUUAAGGAAAAAAUAAAAGGGCUUAACUCCUACACACGAAAAAAUGAUUGUUGACUUUUUUGUCGCUGAAAAAAAGGAAAAGAUUGCUAAAAUCCUUUGCCAUAGCUGCAAGAAACAAACUAAGCAAUAGCUUGAAGGCAAUUGCCAAAUUGUCUGUUAACUCAUAGACUCGAGGUCGAGACAAUUCUCUAAAUAAUAAUUGAAUGAAGAAUUCUAUCUGCAGUUCCUGUGAAGCAAGUUUUUGAAAUCAAACCAGGAAGAUGAUCAGUUUAUUUUCCAAAACUGAAUAUGCAUAGACAUAAUUUUCAAGAAUAUAUUGCAGUAUAUGAAAAUAGCAUGUAAAACACUUAAUCUGGGACAAAUAAGGUUAAAAUUUCUAUUCCUGAAUACAAGUACAAUACUGUUAAACACAAAUCUAUGACCAAACAAUAUCAACGUGAAAUAUCUACACCCUGCAGUAGGACAUUAUCAACCUGGAAACACUAGGAAAAGACAGCAAUAGCAAUUUUAAGUAAACCCUCAGGCAGUUCGAAGGUUUUUUUUAUCUUUUAUUCAGCAGUACACAUGAUACAGAUUAUUAUAGUCAUUCACCAUAUCUAACCUCUGGCUAUCUGCAAUGAUUCUAAAAAAAUUUAAAAGUACAAGAAGCUCAAGCCCUGAUUAUCAGCAAGAGAUGGGAUAAGGAAAUCCUAAGGCUACAUCUACAGAUUAGCUAACACAGAAAUGCCCAUCUUACACACUAUCCUAGUGAGGCAACCAUCUGUAUAUCCUGUAACUAACAGUAUAACUUUUCUCGCUUACAUGUCUAUACAGAGGACAACAUGCAAAUCAGAACAAUUAACAAAGCUACGGGUAGCAAAUCUUUCUACUUGACUUGUAAAUCAAGCAUCACUGUCAUUGCCGCCUCCAUGUUUUUCUGCAUCAUCACCACCUUCAGCUUCAUCCUCCUCUUCUUCCUCAUCACUCAUGUUAUUUAUUACUUCAGUGAUUAUUGCCUUCACCUCUGCUUUUCUGUGCAUCAAAUCCAUAUCAAAGUGGCUACCUGAAAUAAAGCCCCAGUAAACAAGGUUAGAAAAUGAGAGAUCAGUACAACAGAUUCUUGAAUGGCAGGUAGAAUGAGCAUUUGAAUAAACGCACCUAGUUUCCUGAUAAUAUCAGAUAAAGUUGCCUGCAUUCAAGUAGUGCAAGAACAUGAUCGGUAUGAAGGCUCAAGCACUAAUUAAACAACAACAAAAAUUAAAAAAAUAAAUAAUAUAUAUAUAUACACACACACACACACAUACAUACAUACAUGUUGACUUUUAUGUUUGAUAAGUAGUAAAAGAAGUAUGACUUACAGUGUUAAAAUCAACUUCUUGAAGAAUACUUGCUACUACUGCAUGCAAUUCUUCUUUGGUGGGCUCUGCUUUGGCCUUCUUCACACUUUUCCCUUUUCCUAUUCCAAAAGGUUCAACAGUCACAAAUGUGGAAGAUACACAACUAAAAAGAGAAUCUGUUUGGUGCAAUGAUCAGUAAAUCCUAGAAUACAGAUUGACAUCAGAUUCUGGACAAUCGCUGACAUUAAAAUAUGACAUAUCAGAAUACUCAUUUUUGGGAAAAGGAGAUCAGUGUAUCCUGAAACAUCACUCUUCACAAGAAUAUCUCAAAAAGCUAAACCUGAAGCUCUUUAGUUUCUCACCAUAGAGAAGAAUGGAAGCACAAAUAUUAACGGGAAAAAAACAAGUUGUACCUUCCUUUGCAGUAGACUUGCGUGAUUGUUUCUUGCCCGAAGAUUUUUCCUUCACAGAUUCAGUUUCUUCUUUUUUACUUUUCUUUUCAACUUUUUGUUUCUUGGGUUUAGAUAUUGAAUCCGCAGCAGAAGCACCUUUCUUGGAAGCUGAACUAGAAGUCUCUUUGGUAGAUUUUGAUGACCUUUUCGAAGACUUAGUAGGGCUGCCCUUUUCCAUAGCCUUAGACUUAUCUACAGCUUUACUCCCAGAAUCCUUCUUUGAACUCUUCUUUGAAUAAACCUUCUCAUGAGACUUGUCUUUGGGUUUCUCUUCCAUUUCCUCUUCCUCUUGUUCCUCAUCUUUCUCGGAAGCAGUCUCUUCCUGAUCACUUCCUUCUUUAGCAGCUUCAUCGUCAUUCUCAGAGUCAUCUCUAGUAUCUGAUGGUUCAUCAUCAGCUUCUUCUUCAAUUUUUGAUGACCGCUUGCGCUUCACCCCAACAUCAGAUUUCUGAUCCUUCUGCUUUGGAGAUGACAAAGAAGUCAGACAACCUUUCAGCAGUCAGAAGACUAUGACAGACAUGCAUGGAAAAAGUAACAGCAAACUUCCCUUGACAACAGAAACAUCAAGAUUUACUAACAUGAGCCGUCAAAAUGCAUAGAUGUUGAUGUAUGACUGCCACAUAAAGUGCUUAGAAAUACUGACAAAGCCAAAGGCACAACAUAUAUCCCCUGCCAACAAUUGAAUCCAACAGAAAAUAUAAAGCAGUGCCUAAAUUUCUCUUCAAAAUGUAGUUCAAGUCUAAGUUACAAACGUACUUCUUAAUACACAUUAUAACUUAGUUGCUUCAGCUGAAUAAUUUACAUAUUUUGCUAGUUCUCACCAAAAUCAUGAUGACAAAUAACCACUAAAAUUCAAUGUUUCUGACACACUAACUUUUUUAUUUAUCCCAAAAGUUUGAACAGAUUCUCCUUGAGAGUAGAUUGUAAAGGCAAGGAGUUAAAACUGAUUAACUGACUAAAUGUACACUAUAGAGAUUAUUUCUGUACCAUCAUUUUAUUGUCUUCAUCCAAAAAAAUAGUUAUGCUUAAGUUGCCAUACCUAUUUACUUGUGCAAACAAAACACUAGUUGCUCACAUAUCCAGUAGCCAACAACACAGAACUGGAAAAAGGAAAGAGAGGAAGCACAUGCUAGCGUAGUCAAAGACUUGCUUGAAGCUGGCACUUGUUAAUACUAAUAUGCAAUAAAUCCACAGUGAAACAACAAUAACAACAACCCAGUAUAAUUCCACUUAGUGCGGUCUGGGGAGGUUAGUGUGUACGCAGACCUUACCCCUACCCUUGGGUAAAGAGGCUGUUUCCNNNNNNNNNNNNNNNNNNNNNNNNNNNNNNNNNNNNNNNNNNNNNNNNNNNNNNNNNNNNNNNNNNNNNNNNNNNNNNNNNNNNNNNNNNNNNNNNNNNNNNNNNNNNNNNNNNNNNNNNNNNNNNNNNNNNNNNNNNNNNNNNNNNNNNNNNNNNNNNNNNNNNNNNNNNNNNNNNNNNNNNNNNNNNNNNNNNNNNNNNNNNNNNNNAACUUCCCACCUUGCUCUUGGGGAGACUCGAACUCACAACCUCUCAGUUGGAAGUGGGGGUUGCUUACCAUCAGAGCAACCCCUCUUGUCAUUAAAUCCACAGUGCAAAUUACAAAAUAAUUAGUGUUUCUUAACCAACGCCAUAGUGGCACUAGUUAGCAUGACCCUUAAAAAAUAUCUUACUUCAUUUCCAUCCCCUCUCUUAAGCACUUAGGUUCAUUUAGAUUGUCAGUUGUUUGAAGCUCAGAGAAAUUAAUUGCAGUUAUCAGCUACAGAAAGUUAUAGAUACUUUUAAACAUUGUCAUUAGCUGAAUGUGCUAGUUGGAAUGAAUGCCUUGAGAAGAGAAGGGCGAGAUUGAGAGAGAACCUUUACUGAUUUCCCAGUAGUUUUAUCUGAGGAACCUGUGCUUUUGGCAGCUGUGCUCUUCCCCUUUUGCUUCUUACCCUUCUAACAUUAAAAAGAACACAAAAGUUACAACUUCACAAAUAUUAAACAAAUGCUAAUACAUAAAGAACGUUAAGACAAAAGGGAACUCUUCAAGGAGAGAGAGAGAGAGAGAGAAGCUUAGAAGAUUCAGCUAUAUACCUGUUGCUUAUCAGCAAGCAAGGAAUCUGUUGUAGGAUGAGGAGAUUCCAGGAAUUCUAAUAAUUUCACUACGAGCUCAUCCUGAAAAUUGAUACAAGUAAAAUGACUGACAGGGAAAAACUAGGUAAUAAAAUUUGCUGCAGUGGAUGACACAGUUGACAAAGACCCAUUGGAAAUACAUGCCUUCUUUGCAGCAGAUUUAAUCACUGAAAUAUUGAGGACAUCACAAAAAUCCAGUAGCUUCUCCUUAAUACACUUGUCCAGCCUCUCUUUGACUUUCCCCCUUUGUUUUUCCUGCUUGAUAAAAUAAAGUAGGCAAAUGAUAAUCUGAUCACACAUUCAAUAAAAGGGAUCAUUUAGUAACUUGAUGUAUCACUUAAUUACGUCCAUUUCACAUGUAAAUAAAUAAAGAAAGCAAAAGGAAGAUUCAAUCACAAGAUAUAAAAGACAUAGAAACAAAAGUACCUCAUCUUCAACCCAAACAAAUCCUGAAAACUGCCCUAUGUUUUUCUUCAAACUAUGUGCCUGCAGAGGUAAAAUGUCAAAGACAUCAUCAAAGCCUUGCAAUAAAACAAGCAAAGACCAAGCCCUGUGCACAUAGCCCCCCACCCCCAAACAAACACGUGCACACAGUUUUAGAUGUCAAACCAUGAGAGAUAGCAUCUCUAGAUGUAAUGCUCAGGAGUUCAUAACUAAGAAGAUGAUGCUGACCUUUGUUUUCUUGCCAUAAAGAAUAUUGUGUAGUAUCUGCAGGUUAGCAUCAGGUUUUCUCUUGGAUAGUUUAUAAGCCACUGAAAAUUUCAAAAUAUUGAAGAUGUCAGAGAGAGAAAAUCAAGCUUCAAUAUCACGCAGCUAUAAUUAAGUAAAUCAUAGCAUUGGACUCAUAACUCGAUAGUAUGCAGUAUCUGAGUCAACAGAAAAACAAAUAGAAACCUUUUGUAAAGAUUUACAUUUUUAUUUAUGCAAGUAAACACUGCUUUACUUGAACUCGGUUCUUUGUGGUCCCUGUGAAUCAAAUUAAAUGAGUUAAACUAAAGAUCGUGUAUACACCUACUUCCGCGCACUAUUUGUCCAUUAAACCAAGAUCUAUGAAGAAACCCACUGAAAAAUACACCAAAUGUGUACAUAAUCAAAAGCCAAAGAAUCAAUUUAAUCUCUUCAAAAGAUAGAUAUACACCAUCCAGUUUUUUAUGAAGGAAACACCAUCCAGUUUGUAUACAACUUCAAUAAGUUUCAAGAAUAUAAACAAUGUUUUCAUCCAGCAAAUUCCCCAACCAUUACUUUCAAUAUUUUCUUCCACUAUCACUAAUAUAAUAUAUAUAGGCCAAAUUGAAAUCAUAAUUUCACAUCCAAUCAAAUACCAUCACAUGAAAUAAAAGAGAAGGAGCGUAUCAAAGUAUCGGUCAAAUUACAAUCUCAGUGAAUUUCACCAAGUAAUGACAAAAAUGCAAACAUCUUUUUUUUUCCUUUUUGCCUAGAAGGAAUCAAAUUGACUAAUCAAUCAUUAAACGAUAAAUAAAUAGCAGAGCAUAACCAUUUAAGAGGGAAAACAAAGUGCUCGAGCAGAAGUGAAAUCAUACCGUUUGGGAUGUACUUCAGCUGAGUACCACUACCCUGCAUUUAAACACACUGAUUCAUAGAAGGAAAUUCGCAUCAUAACUGAAAUUGCAAAUCAAAUGUUUACACUGCCAUUUAUUCUCUAGUUUGAACCUAAAAUCUAAAAUGAUACUGCUGAAUAUUAUUUAGGAAGUCAUGACGAUUAACAAGAAAGGAAUCCUUGAAUUUGAUAUCAACUGAAAAAUUAAAAAAAAAAGAAAUCAAGAAUUUUAGAAACAGAACAUUCAGAAAGAUACCUUCCUGAUUGACAAUGGCUUAGGCGUCGAACUUCUAGCACCCGAAGACUCAGAGUAACGCUCCACAGUUUUCCGUUCCCUUGUCGGCCUUGAGCUUGGUGUCACUGGCUCUUCCGUACUUUCGCUACUACUUUUCUCUUUGCCCUUCUUUACUGGUGUUUUCUCUUGCUUUUCCUCCUCCUCUGAUUCCUCUUUUUCCUCCUGCUCUGAUUCGGCUUCUUCCGCUUCUUUUUUGUCUACUUCCAUUUCAUCUACUUCCUCUUUGUCUUCUUCUUUCUCGUCCUCAUCUUCGGCUUUAAUUUCAUCUUUUUUCUCCUCCUCCGCUGCUUCGGUUGACUUUUUCUCUUCUUCUUGUUCUUGUAAGGAAGAUUUCUCCUCCGUCAUCUCUUCUGGUUUCUGAUCUUUCUCUGACGCCAUAGACGAAACAAUACUAGUGAGCAGCAGUAAACGAGUGGUAAAACCCUAGUCUGGGGUUUCUGGUUUUGGGAAUUUUUCUUUUCUCUGUAGUAAGAUUGAAUGUAAGAGAGAUAGAGAAGUUUGAAGAUACAGAUCUAGAACUUGAAAUGUUAAGAGGGAAAAGGCGGGCGCAAUUUGGAAUUGGAGAUGCUAAAAAUACUACUCCUUCUGAAGCUCGAAAUUUUCGUUUGGGAUUACAAAAUUCUAAAUACCGGGAAUUCCCGGUUAUGAAACGGUAAUUGCCCGCCUAUCCUUUUUGCUUUUUUCACUUGUGGGCCGGUAAUUGCAGAUCCGUGUAUAUCCCGUUAAUCAAGAAGAAAGUGCACCAUUAGCCACUAAUUAGAUAUAUCUUACUUUUUAGGGAAACGUACACAAAAUAUAUUCCAAAUAAAUCUUAACUAACAAACUCUAGUCAUUAAUUAUAGACUUACCAAAACUAGCCAAUAAAAAUUAAAAAAUCAAAUAAUAGAGUUCUUUCUCUCAAAAAAUCACAUGCAAAAAUCACCUUCCAUAUUUUUAAGCGUGAUUAGCAAUAUUAGAAAAAACGGAAAGGAAAUUUCAAGGACGGGAUAGCAACUAUGGUAAUAAAAUAUAAAAAUCUAUGCAAUAUUCCAAAAUUUUAAAUAAAAAAAAAACUUUUUCAAUGGGUAUAGUUGAAAUUCAUGAAAAUAUAUAGAUAAGUCAAUAUAGAAAAUUUGAGGAAGAUCAGAGGUGAUUUAAACUAGUUUUGAAUCAAAAUUCGUAAUUAAAUCGAGUUCAAAAAAGUGUUAUGCGACACAUGUAUCAGGCAUGUAUCUCACAUACCGGUAUAUAUAGAUAUAUAUGUGAUACACAAUUGAUACAAAUAUGAUACAUAUGUGAUACACAAGUGAUACACAGUGUGAUAUAUAUAUAUCAUUUUUUCAUGUUCAACUUUUACUUCGAAUUUUCAAUUCAAACCACCUCACAACUUCACCAAAUCAUCCCAAAACUGAGAUUCAAGCUCCGUAAGUUGUGUCCAAUCUAUUUAAUAACACCCACUCAAAACAAAUUAAAAAUUUGAUAUUUUCUUGCUACAAAUAGCUAAUUGGCUAAUUUGGCUAAUAUUAGUAAUAUUUUAUCAAUUGCCAAUUUUUGUGAUGAGCUACUUAUAAAUGGACAUAGCUGGUAAUUACCCACUUUUUAACUAAUGUUUAAAAUGUUUUUACCAUUCGCCCGUAAGAAAAUACCCUUGUACUAGACAUCGGUAUUAAUAAAUAUUAAGGACAUGGAGUCCUUAACUUCACGAGUACUAUGUAAAUAUUAAAUAUAAAGUGUCAUGUAUUUGCACCUUCUGUUUUUAAACAUUAGGAUAUCAUGUCUUUAACUUCAUAUGUGUAGCGUAAAUAUUAAUACUAUGAUAUCCUUAACUUAAUGUGUGCAGUGUAAAUGUUAAUGACAUAAUAUUUGCACCUUAUGUUGUUAAACCGUCACGGCCCUAGUUCACCAAUUGUGAACUUGUCAAGACAGCUCACAGUCUUCGCGACUAGGUAAGCCUAACACAUUGCGAAAUUUAACCGUUCGAAAUAAAAAUAGUAACAAAAACUAAAUAGAAUAAGAAAUGUAUAAUUGUGCCGCUUGACACAAACACUGAAUACACAACUUCUGAAAAACAAUAUCCCUAAAAUCCGGAAUCCCACGGGAAACACAGGCUAUGGAGAGUCUUACACUGCUCUAGUCACCAUAAUUGACUAAUACAAAGAAGGGAAUCAAAAUAACAAUUAAUAAUUAGAGAUGGAAUGAGAAGGAGACUAUGCAGAUAGGCGAAUGUAGCAGAUGUAUACCUCAAGUCUCCAAUAAUGCUCCCCAACAACUAUUGGCGGUAUGCCUGCUCGAGAGUACCUGGAUCUGUACAUGAAAAACAUGCGCAUAAGAGGCGUGAGAACACCACAGCGGUACUCAGUAAGUGCCAAGCCUAACCUCGGUGGAGUAGUGACAAUGAAAGGUCGAGGCUCUACUGAGAUAAAUGUAAAAAUAAAUAUGAAAUGAAUAGACAGUAGAAGUACUGUAAAUCUCGAGUAUCCAGCAAAAUAAUAAGUAGAAUAGAAAUAGGCUACAACUACAAUCUACGAAUGCAAGAACAAUCACUACAGGCUAUUUAUCAUCGAGGAUCUCCUAGUAUCCCGAGAAUUUCCUGGUAUCAUCAUCAUAUACACAAGGGAUCUCCAAGUAUCCCGAGGAUCUCCUAGUAUCCUCCAUUUAAUCGCGAGGGAUCUCCAAGUAUCCCGAGAAUCUCUUAGUAUCCUCCAAUUAAUCAAUCAUGUGCCGGAGAUCUCUUAGUAUCUCGCACUUCCAAUCUCGAAACAUAAUACAUACAGGGAACUCCCGGGAUGCCGUCCUAUAGACCCAUUCGUGAACACAAAUCAACAAUUCAAUAUUUAACAGAAAGAAGCUAAGUACGAGCAACAGGUGAAAAUCUAGAGUCUAGCAUGCUCACAAAAAGGUAGAUAUUGCAAUUUAGUCAAAUAGAGAAAAUAAGUUACUAACAUGCUUUCCCUAAGCUAAAACAACUGAAAUUGCAUUUUUAACAGUUAAAUACGUAAAGAAACACAGUCUAAAUAAGCCAAGUAAGGUGAAUUUUUAACAACUACCACAAGUACAUGUCGUCACCUCGCGCACAAGGCAUUUAAACAACAGUAAAGAUAUCCUAAGGGGAGAGCUCCCCCACACAAGGUUAGACAAACCACUUACCAAACUCUCCGACUGGCGACUCAAGGCAUCGGCUACCACAUUGGCCUUGUCCGGGUGAUAAAAAAUAGUGAUAUCAUAAUCCUUCAGUAGCUCCAACCAUCUCCUCUGGCGCAAGUUCAGAUCCUUCUGCUUGAACAAGUGUUGCAAACUUCGAUGAUACGUGUAAAUCUCACAAGGCACGCCAUAGAAAUAAUGAAUCAAGAUCUUCAAGGCAUGAACAAUAGUAGCUAACUCAAGGUCAUGGACAGGAUAGUUCUUUUCAUGUACCUUCAAGUGUCUGGACGCGUAGGCAAUCACCCUACCGUCCUGCAUCAACACCGCUCCAAGUACCACUCAUGAGGCAUCAUAAUAUACCGUAUAGGACCUGAACCAGUAGGCAAAAUCAGAAUAGGGGCUGAAGUUAAAGCCGUCUUGAGCUUUUGGAAGCUCGCCUUACACUCGUCUGACCACUGAAAAUGAGCACCCUUCUGGGCUAAUCUAGUCAUAGGGGCUACAAUCGAGGAGAACCCCUGCACAAAACGACGGUAAUACCCCACCAGUCCAAGGAAACUGCGGAUCUUCGUAGCUAAAGAGGUCCUGGGACAACUCUACAUGGCUUCCACCUUCUUCGGAUUUACCCGAAUGUCCUCACUCGAUACCACGUGGCCUAGGAAUGGCACAUAACUCAACCAAACCUCACAUUUUGAGAACUUUGCAUAUAAUUUCUUUUCCCUUAGGGUCUGAAGCACUGUCUUCAGGUGUUGCUCGUGAUCUUCCCGACUCCAGGAGUAUACAAGAAUAUCAUUUAUGAAAACAAUGACAAAUGAGUCGAGAUAGGUCCUGAAUACACUGUGCAUCAAAUACAUAAAAGCUGUUGGGGCGUUGGUCAGCCCAAAUGACAUGACAAGGAACUCGUAAUGACCAUAUCAAGUCUUGAAAGCAAUAUUCGGAAUAUCCGGCUCCCGAAUCUUUAGCCGGUGAUAACCUGAGCGCAAAUCAAUCUUAGAAAAUACUUGUGCGCCCUGAAGCUGGUAAAAUAGAUCAUCAAUAUGAGGCAAAGGAUAUCGGUUCUUCACUAUGACUUUGUUCAACUGAUGAUAAUCGAUACACAUGAGCAUAAAACCAUUAUUUUUCUUUAUGAACAAGAUAGGAGCAUCCCACGGUGAAACAUUGGGUCGAAUAAAACCCUUAUCAAGCAAUUCCUGUAAUUGAUCCUUCAACUCCUUCAACUCAGGAUGAGCCAUACGGUAAGAAGGAAUAGAUAUGGGCUGAGUGCCCGGCAACAAAUCAAUACUAAAAUAAUGUCCCGAUCGGGCGGCAAGCCCGGAAGAUCAGCUAGAAAUACAUCGGGGAAAUCUCGUUCCACUAGGACAGAGUCAACAUUAGGGGUAUCGGCUUUGAUAUCUCUCACAUAAGCUAAAUAUGCGGCGCACCCCUUCUCAACCAUACGUUGAGCCCUAAGAAAUGAUAUAACUCUACUAGGAGUGUCAUCAAAAGUACCACUCCACUCACGUGGAAUACCUGGCAUAGCCAGCGUCACGGUCUUAGCCUGACAAUCAAGAAUAGCAUACUGGGGCAACAACCAGUCCAUGCCCAAGAUAAUAUCAAAAUCAAUCAUAUCAAGUAAUAAAAGAUCUUCCCUGGUCUCAAAACCACGAAUAGUAACCAAACAUGGCCGGUAUACCCGGUCCACGGCAAGGGAAUCUCCCACGGAAGUAGAAACAUAAACAUGAGAGCUCAAGGUCUCUCGGGCUGUACCUAAAUGCGGAGCAAAAUAAGAUGACACAUAAGAAUAAGUAGAGCUUGGAUCGAAUAGAACUGAUGCCUCUCCUUGACUAACCAAUAUAAUACCUAUGAUAACAGAAUCGGAGGUGACAACCUCGACACGAUUAGGAAUAGCAUAAAAUCUCGCCCGGCCCCUCCCUCGAGGGUGACCUCUAUCUUCCCAAUCUCUGCCCUUGGCUAGCUGGGGAGGUGGGGUGGCAGUUGGAGCUGGAAUGAUAGCCUGGGAAUCUCGCUGGGUACACUGCUGAUGAGACUACUGCGGAGGUGCACUCCUCACAAGCCUAGGGCAAUCCCUCACUACAUGGCGGGUAUUCCCCACACGCAUAACAAGCUCUGGGAGGCGUGGUGGUUGUGACUGACUGGGCAAACCCCUGCUAGAUUAGCCUCUGGAAGUACCCCGCGUGGGAGGUGUACUGGAAACUGGAGGUGCAUAAUAAGGCUCCUGAGAUAUGGGAGGAGCUGGAGUACUACCGGGUGAAGGAAGAGCUGAGUGAAUUGGGCGACCAGUAUAACCCAUACCAUGACGUCCUAAUCCUGAAGUACGGGUACCAGAGUAAUGACCCGACUCACGAGACCCCUUAGCCUCUCUCUCCUCUCGCUCCCUUGCAUGCAUACCCUAUAUCCUCCUAGCUAUGCUCACUACCUGCUGAUAGGGUAUAUCCAUCUCCAACUCUCGUGCCAUGCCAGACCUGAUGGAAGGAAUAAGACCCUCGAUAAACCGGUGAACCAUCUCACAAAUAGUAGCCAUCAAAGCAGGCACAUGCCUGGCCAACCUAGUGUAAUGGAUGGCAUACUCACAAACAGUCAUAAGGCCGUGGCGCAAAUUCUCAAACUCCAUGCGUCAUGCAUCUCAGAGGCUCUGGGGAACAAACUCCCUCUGAAACAUAUAUGAAAACUAAGUCCAAGUCAGGGAGGCAGCCUCGUCCGGACUGUCUAACUCAAAGGUGCUCCACCAGUUAUAGGCGGCUUCCCGAAGCUGGAAGGCUGCAAAAUAAACCCCGCUCAAGGCAGUAAUACCCAUGGUGCAAAAAAUGCGGUGAAAAUCCUCCAAAGUCCAUUGAAAAUAGGAGGGUCGUACUUCUUGAACCUCUCCAAUCUACGUUGCCCAUCCUCCGAAGUAGGUGCCCCAUCAUCGGGCUGAACCGGUACUCCAGGCUGGAUAGGGAUAAUAUCCUGAAUCUGUCCCAUAUGCACCCUCUGCUCUGAAGUGUGGGCUGCGGGAAUCUGGGCUCCUCCCCCGUCCUAGGACGUGGCUGUAGGAAGGGGAAGCAAACCUGCCUGUGACAGCGUAGUAUACAUGCUCAAAAACUGCACCCAUGCCUCCUGAACAGUUGGAGUUGUGGUGGUUGUGGGCGUUCCAGGUGCCUGAGUCUUGGCUGGAUCCGUUGGUGGUACCUUGGCAGCCACUCGCGCAGGUGCUCUGGCUGCACCCCGCGCGCGUCCAUGACUCCUGCCCCGGCCCCUACCUCUAGCGGCUGCAAGAGGGGAUGUGGGUGCCUGAUCGUCUCGUGUCGUGCGUGUCCUCAACAUUUGUGAGAGAAAAGAAGACAGAUGUUUCGAAAUAAAAACAAUAGAAUAAGAAAUGUAUAAUGGUGCCGCUUGACACAUACACUGAAUACAAAACUUCAUAAAACAAUAUCCCCAAAACCCGGAAUCCAACGGGCAACACAUGCUAUUAAGAGUCUUACAUAGCUCUAGUCACCAUAAUUGACUAAUACAAAAAGGGGAAUAGAAAUAACAACUAAUAACUAGAGAUGGAAUAAGAGUGAAACUUUGCGGAUUUGCGGACGUAGCAGAUGUAUACCUCAAGUCUCUAAUAAUUCUCCCCGACAACUACUGGCGGUAUGCCUGCUCAAGAGUACGUGGAUCUACACAUGAAAAACAUGCACAAAAGAGGCGUGAGUACACCAUAGCGGUACUCAGGAAGUGACAAGCCUAACCUCGGUAGAGUAGUGACGAGGAAAGAUCGAAGCCCUACUAAGAUAAACGUAAACGUAAAUAUGAAAUGAAUACAAAGUAGGAGUACAUUAAAUCUCGAGUAUCUAGCAAAAUAAUAAGUAGAACGGAAAUAGGCUACAACUACAACUACAAUCUACGAAUGCAAGAAUAAUCACUACAAACUAUUUAUCAUCGGGGAUCUCCUGGUAUCCCGAGGAUCUCCUGGUAUCCUCAUUAUAUACACAAGGAAUCUCCAAGUAUCCUGAGGUUCUCCUAAUAUCCUCCCUUUAAUCACGAGGGAUCUCCAAGUAUCCCGAGGAUCUCCCAGUAUUCUCUAAUUAAUCAAUACUAUGCCGGAGAUCUCUAAGUAUCUCGCACUUACAAUCUUGGAACGUAAUACAUACAGGGAACUCCCGGGAUGUUGUCCCGUAGACCCAUUCGUGAACACAUCACAAAAAUUCAAUAUUUAAUAGAAAGAAGCUAAGUAUGAGCAAUAGGUAAAAAUCUAGACUCUAGCAUGCUCACAAAAAGGCAGAUAUUGCAAUUUAGUCAAAUAGAGCAAAUAAGUUACUAACAUGCUUUCCCAAAGCUACAACAAGUGAAGUUAUAUUUUAAAUGUUAAAUACGUGAAGAAACACAAUCUAAAUAAGCCAAGUAAGGUGAAUUUUCAACAGCUAGCACAAGUACACGCCCGUCACCUCGCGCACAAGGCAUUUAAACAACAGUAAAGAUAUCCUAAGGGGAGAGCUCCCCCACACAAGGUUAGACAAGCCACUUACAUCGAACCGGUACAGAAAUCGCUAAGAAACAAUACCCUUGCCACGAGUAACCGACUCCGAGUGGCCCAAAUCUAUUCAAACCAAUUACAUAUUGUAAAUAACAUCGCAAGUAACUAAUUCCACUAUUAAAAUUAAAGCUAAGGCGCGAAUGUUGAUACCCAUUUUCUCCUAUAUAUUCUUGUACCCAAAAUACUUUUAGAAUAGUAUGUGUAUGCAUAUAUAAGCAUGACGGGGAACUUUGGUGUUUUUCUUUAAUUUUUGAGAUCUUUUAAAAUCAAUUUACUCCUUAUUUUUGAUAGUAUAAAGGCUAAAAUUAUAUUCCAAAUUAUUAUUUUUAGUUAAUAUUUCGAUUCACUCCCAUAUUUACAAUAAAAUAUAAUUUAUGGAAUUUUUGCACAUUUUUUUACAAAUUUAUUUGGAAUUUUUAAGGCUAAUUGCACAAAAUUGUAAUUAUGGCCAAUUUCGUAAUAAACUAUGUUUCAUAGUUAUAAAUUAUUUCUAGUAUUUUUAGAUUAAUACUUAUAUAUUAUUAAUUAGUUAUAUAUUUUUAUUUUUUAUUUUUAAACUAUUUUUGCUAUUUUAUAAAAUUAAUUGGGAGAAAUUGGCUAUUUAAAAGUUAGCCAUAUUUUGUUUAAAUUGUAGCCCAUAUUGAACCCCUAUGUCAGCCCAAUUUUUUAAUCCAAUUAGACAAAAUAACGUGACCCAUACACCUUUUUAUUUACCCGACCAUCCUAGAUUCAAUAUGAGUCGUUGAUCAAAUGAGAUCAACGACCCAGAUUUAAUUUCCUAAAUUAAAACCUAAUUACCCCUUCCCUUUACCCUCAUUUUUUCAAAGCCCGGUAUCUCUCUAACCUUUCGUCUCUGAGUUCUCUCUAGAACCUUCUGGUUCUCUCUCUAAUCUCCGACGGCCUUCAUCGUUGUUCAGGCCACCUCCACCCUCACUCCUCUCGACCACCACUCACCAUGGUAUCUUAUCUCCAUAUUUCUCUCUAAGACUCGAAGUCUAGAAGCUUCCGCCAUGGAAGACAGUCGACUGAAACAUGCAUGGGUCUAUGCCGGUUUUCUCUGAUGGUUUUUACACGACAGUGCUUAUAUGGCCUUGAUGAUGAGUUUCACGGUCAUGUUCCUCCUUUCUCUAACUCGUUUGCGAACCUUAUUUUUUUCUACUCAAAUCUCUUUAAUCUUUGUUCUUUAAAAAGAUUUCUCACUCAAUCUUUCUGGUUGUCUCAUGUUUUCCGAUGAUUUUUUCUUUCUCAAAAUUAAGGUUUCUGACCCUUUUUUUUCAAAAUCGCUUCUUCUACUUUUCUUGAGUGUUAUGUGAUUGUUUGUGCUUGUUUGUGUUACAAGUUUGUUUGGUUUCCUUGUUACCUGGGUUCCAUGCCUUAAUUUUCUUGCUAGGUUUCCGACCCUUUGUUGCUUCCAUGCUUUUACCUGCUUAGGGUUCUCUGAAUUUCUUGUGUAUUAGGCUUUAUAGGCCUAAAUUGUUCAUCGUUCGAAAUAUUCUACUGAUGUUGAACAUCUCUGUUAAUCUCUGAUUUGUAUGUGAUUUUCCUUAGAUGUUUUAUUUAUUUCUUUUGAAAUUACUUCCUUAUUUGGGCAUGCUCUCCUUAUUUAGAGACAAUUCUCUCUGAUUUUGGGUUUUGCCCGUGAUUCUUUGACUAAUUGUCAGACCAAUUUGUAUUCCCUUACCAUAUUUGUGCAUGAACAGGCUUUCAAAAUCUUCAGCAUAUAUUUUCCUUACUUUAAUUACUAUGUGUAUUCACCCUUAUUGCAUAAUUUGUAUUCUCUUACCGUAUUUGUGCAUGAACAGGCUUUCAAAAUCUCCAGCAUAUAUUUUCCUUACUUAAAUUACUAUGUAUCUAACCCUUAUUGCAUAUUAUAUGCUAUACUACUUUUAUUAAGGUAAAUGUAAUAGUUUAAUUGAUUCCUUUCCUUCUAAAACCCUUUACUUGUUACCGCUUGACUUUGAUUCCUUAAUUAAAAGGGAGUCCUUAUACUAAUUUGAUUGUAAAUGCUUAUUACCGCUUGUCUUUGAUUCCUUAAUUAAAAGGGAGUCCUUAUACUAAUUUGAUUGUAAUUGAUACUAGUCCCUUAAUUAAAGAUUACUGCUUGUUUAUGUACUCGUUUUCCACUACUAUAAAUACUCCCCCCUUUCUCUUUGAAGGACACCAACACACACUGCAUAUCUCUCACAACUUCAGACUCUCUGAAUUCUCUCUUUCUCUGCUAUUACUAUACUCUCUCAUUCUCUUAUUUGAACACUCAAUCGGUUAAAAGGCAAGAUUGAGUAGCCCGGGUUGAUUACUUCUAUACUAGUGGGUUAUAUUGUUUGUUUACUUGGGUUUGCUGCUGCUGCUAUUGCUAUUCUCAUACUGCUGCAAACUGUUAUUCAAUUCGCUACUCACACACUCUGAUCACCUUGUUCCUCCGUGCACUAUUGCUCACUGCUAUUGUGUUCAAUUACUUGCAACUGGUAUGUCACCCUUUUAAGAUAUAGUUUCCAAAACAACAUGUUUCUAUUAAUUUUGCAUUUCAUAUUGUUCCUUGUGUGAUUUUACUUAUGGUUUUGUUGCUCUUUUUUUCACUAGCAUGCAUUUACUAGUCUACUUAGUUUAGCUUAACAUGCUCCCCUUACCCCUUUCCUGUCUCAAUAAAUGUUUUCCUUUCCCUUGUGCAUUACUACUAUGUGUCCAGGGCUGCUUCGCUACUUGAUUAGCCCUAAACCUUUGCUUGAGGCUAAGUGUAUUUGGGUUUGGUACAGUAAGAACUGAACCCCUGAUUCUGCAACCAUGUCUGAUUACUUUCCUCCAAUAUGUUGUUUGUGCGUGAGUAGUUCACUUUACUUAUUUGGUCCUUUCUCUUUUGCCCCUGUUUGUGUGAUGCUCUGAAAAGGUCCAAAUGAUUUUAGAAGAACUUUUUAAACUCUUUCAACUAUUUUCUCAAACUGUAUCAACUUUUUAACUGUUUUUCUCAAGCUGUCUCUUAGUUGUUUUUUAACUCUCUCAAUUCUAUCACAAUCUCACUACUCUUAGAACAUUAGGUUCUGCCCCUUUAGUGCAAGAAUUGCCUUGGGAGCCCUUGAGCACCCAUUGAACUUUGAUGAACAAGGCUGAACUCCCACACUUGCACUUCUCUAAUGAUGAUGGCAUUGGCUCGGGAUCCCUUGAGUACCCAUUGAACUUUGAUGUACAAGGCUGGCACCUCCACACUUGCACUUGUCUAAUAAUGAUAUUUUGGGUGCUUGGUAUUGGCCAGGGGUCCAAACGAAACCUUAGGGAACUUUUCCGCACCCAAACCUUGGUAAUGGUUGUGAUACUCGAAAGAAGUGAGGUUGGAGAUGCUUGGCCUGGCUGAAGGCUCUCUAUAGAGUAACUUCUUAUUUUCUUUUAUCACUGUAGUAAUUUAGUUACUUGAGUUGUAAUAAUUUGUAAAGAACAAUGGGGAUUAUAGUGAAUUGGGAGGGCUAUGUAAGUUUAAUUAAGGGAAUGCGUAGAAAACAUGUCUAUAGGCCUUUAUUUACCUAUUUGUGCAAUUGAUACCAUGUUUUAGACAUGCAUAUUCACAUAUAGAAAUCGUGUUCUUUGGCUCUUCACUUUCUGUUUGUUAUUCUGAAUAUUCUUAUAACCAUGACUAAUUAAUAAUCAUCAAGUCAUCAACCUCACAUAUAGAUAUCAUGAUCAUAGGACUUUUGUGCAUUAGAUACCAUGUCUUUAAGGAUAUUAUUUGCAGUUGUUUACUUCGUUGAUCAGGGUUAAAAAUUUGUUAACAGCUCCCUCUUUAAAACUGGAAGCGAAUGUGCAUGCUCAUCAUCCUUUAAUAACGCCUGGGCAAGCAUUAUGUCACGACCCGUUUGUCGUGACCGUGUAGUCCAAAGGAAAGAGCGGGCCAUCUGGAACUUGUCAAUACGCAGUACCCUUGGCAUAUCCAACGUCACGGUUUUGGCAUGACCAUCAAGAAUAGCAUUAUGGGGUGACUAUUGUCACGACCCGUUUGUCGUGACCGUGUAGUCCAAAGGAAAGAGCGGGCCAUCUCGAACUUCAUCGUUGGGUUAUGGGGACGACAUUAGCAAUAAGGCGUUGUUCUCCCUUAGAUGCUUCGAUCUGGUCGAGUCAGGCAGGCCGACCCGGUUAAGUUUGGGGUGUUUGUCGCUGGUCAUGGACUUGACAAUGAAGGGGACCGAAGUAGGCCUAAGGGAUCAACUGGUCUUAUGAGCCCAAGGCAGGGCAAAACCGGUUGGCUUCCGCGUGUGGUAAGGCUUGUCGAGGAAGUGGGUGGCCUCGGGACGCCGCACGGGCGCUGUGUGCUGCGCCAGACUCUAAGCCCGUGACAAGUGGUAUCAGAGCAGGACGUACUUGCUGCUGCGCGUUAUGGUGGAGUCCUCGAGGGGAGGACUGUGCGGGUGCGUUGCCCGGGGCGGGGGCUCGUGCCGAUGGCUGCCCCAUCCUGCUAAGGUCUGCAGGGGUAAGACCGGGAUGGCCACCAGCAAGGCCUGGUUGCAUGAGGUGCGACUGAGCGGAGAGACGCGGCGCGUUAGCAGUAUUAUGCGGGACCCUGGGCGGAGUCCUUCUCCCCAACAGCACGAGGACGUGCUGGGUUUUGGGUGGGGGAGAAUGUCAUGACCUGAUAUAUAUAUAUGGUAUGGGGACGACAUUAGUAUUAGGGCGUUGUUCUCCCUUAGAUGCUUCGAUCUCGCCGAGUCAGGCUAGCCGACCCAGUUAAGUUUGGGGCGCUUGUCAUGGACUUGACAAUGAAGGGAACCGAAGUAGGCCUAAGGGAUCAACUGGUCGGGGGCUAGUGCCGCUCCCCUGAUGAGCCCACGGCAAGGCGAAACCAGUUGGCUUCCGCGUGUGGUAAGGCUUGUUUCGAGGUAACGAGCGGCCUCGGGACGCCGCACGGGCGCUGUGUGCUGCACCGGACUCUAAGCCCGUGACAAGUGGUAUCAGAGCAGGACGUACUUGCUGCUGCGCGUUAUGGUGGGGUCCUCAAGGGGAGGACUGUGCGGGUGCGUUGCCUAGGGGGGGUGGGCUCGUGCCGAUGACUACCCCAUCCUGCUAAGGUAUGGGUAAGACCUGGAUGGCCAUCAGCGAGGCCCGGUUGCACGAGGUGAGGUGCGACUGAGCGAAGGGACGCGGCGCUUUAGCAGUAUUGUGCGGGAUCCUGGGCGGAGUCCUUCUCCCCAACAGCACGAGGACGUGCUGGGUUUUGGGUGGGGGAGAAUGUCACGACCUGUUUGUCGUGACCGUGUAGUCCAAAGGAAACAGCGGGCCAUCUGGAACUUCGUCGUUGGGUUAUGGGGACGACAUUAACAAUAAGGCGUUAUUCUCCCUUAGAUGCUUCGAUCUGGCUGAGUCAGGCAGGCCGACCCGGCUAAGUUUGGGGUGCUUGUCGCUGGUCAUAGACUUGAUAAUGAAGGGGACCGAAGUAGGCCUAAGGGAUCAACUGGUCGGGGGCUAGUGCCGCUCCCAUGAUGAGCCCAAGGCACGGCAAAAGCGGUUGGCUUCCGCGUGUGGUAAGGCUUGUCUCGAGGAAGUGGGCGGCCUCGGGACGCCGCACGGGCGCUGUGUGCUGCGCCGGACUCUAAGCCCGUGACAAUUAGGCCUGAUAAAAUAGGCUAAUCACCUCUAAGUCAUGUUCGAACUAAAUCUGCCUCUGCCUGAACUCGUCUGUUUCUGAAGCUGUAUAAAUUUUUUAUAAACUUCUGCCCUAUUUUAAUACUUAUGCAAGUGAUUUCUACUUUACCAAGAACUGGCCCACUAUUUUCAAACCAUAUAUGCAAAAGUUUUCUACUGUGUUUUCUCGUCCAACACAGGGCUACUAUUUUUCAAGCUAUCUUUGUAAUCUUCAAGGGUUCAUAACCUGACAUGUGUUCCUUUAUACUUCUUCAAUCUCAAAAUAUUUCCAUUUCUGUUCUUCUAUUCUGCUUGUCCGAAAACUGUGUUCCACAAACAUUUUGAAUACAUCUGUAGAUUUUCUAAAACUGCUACUACCUUUUUGAAAGUUCUGAACGUUUUCCCUUGUGUUACUUUUCUGCAAAACUUCCAAACUUAUGUUUAAUUGAUAUUCUAGUUUUUCGAAGGUUUCUUCUUUCCCUAGACUUUAAAUAUGUUCGAUUCGUGCUAAUUAUGUGUUCAUCUUUGGAGGGAUAUUUGAGCCGUUUACAUGCUUAUAUGAUUCCCUUUAUGUGCAAAUCCUAUUUGUUCUUGAAUGACAUUUAGAAUUUUAACCUUUGAACCUAGAGGUUUCACCUAGUUCCUACCUUAUAGGAAUAAUGAUCCUAAAUGUCCUCUAGGAUCUAUAGGAUGGGACGGGUAAUAGCACGCAAUAAGUAUUUGUGACUAAUCCACACACUUAAAUAACCUUACUGGGGGGGAAGGGUAGAAUAUGGAGACGAUGUGAUAAUAUCAUAAAGCGACCCCUCUUUUGGAAUAUGCGCUGGAUAUUGUAUCGAAUGAUCCAUAUUAUAGUCAAACCAUGGACCCCUCUUUUCAUUUCUUUGCUUGCUUUAUUUAUUUAAAGGUUUUUCCAAAGUAAUGCUCUCUUUUCAAAUCUAUUCUCCCUUCUAUUUUAUUUUACUUAUGCCUUUCCCUUUUUUUAAAAAUCCUAAGUUGUUCAAAUGUUUAUAUGUGAAUCUUAUCUGUUUACUUGGUUUAUCUCCCUUUCCCUUUUCAAAAAUCCUAAGUUGCUUAAAUGUUUAUAUGUGAAUCUUAUUUGUUUGCUUGCUUCAUCUCUUCAUAAAGUCACAUUUGCACGGCCGGAAACCACACUAGUGGAUCUUGAGGGGUGCCUAACACCUUCCCCUCAAGAUAAUCUCAAGCCCUUACCCGAACUCUGGUUUUCUUUCAAAACACCCCGCUCAUCUUUAAAAGUGUCCUAAUGCACUAUACUCAUUAGGUGUCGACUCUUCAAAUUCCAUAACCCAAUUCCCAAACGGGAAUGAGAGUUGUUUUGCCCAUAAUGUGUUUGAUAUCUGAAAUAGAUGAGCCCAAGAAGACGACGGUCACUCUUAAUACUAUUGUUGUGCAAAUCCAGCCAUCUGAGGGCAUCGUGGUGAAUAUAUUUGUACCAUUUGAGUUCGAGGCACCUCCUGAAAAAGUGCCAAAACUAAUUGAGGUGGAGUUCGGGACUCUAAAGGUGGCCACAACGAGUUGUUUUGCCCAUAAUGUUUUAAAACCCAAUUUUACUUUUGAAAAAGGGGGCGCCGACAACGUGACGACUCUGUUGGGGAGUUUCUUUAAGGCUUUUACCAUCACGUAUUUUGUGACUUUAUUGCUUUCUUUAUUACCUUUAUUAUUCCUUUAAUCAUUUUUUCAUAAUUACUAACUUGUUUCUUCAUGUCUUCUUUCUUCAGUUAUUUUAUUGCUUUGCUGCAUUUACUUUAUUUCAAUUCCGUCUUAACUUUCGAGCUUCUAUUGUAAUCAUUAUCUUAUGAACGUGAAAAUACAUGUAUUUAUUUCAUUGUUGUAAUUGCAUCCUUCAACAUCAUUUUCCACUCGUGCCAAACAAACAUGUACUUAUUUCAUUGUUGUAAUUUCAUCCUUCAACAUCAUUCCACUCGUUCUAAACAAAUAUUAUAUCAACGCUUACAAUGAGUGGUUGCGCCCUUCCAAUAUUUAUAAACCCCUUAAUUUGCCAAAGGCAUAUUUGCGGUAAAACCAGUUGAUUAACGGUGUAGCCAACGGUUCCGUGCCUUUCCCUCUUGAGUUAUCCGCUCAAGGGUACCUUGUCUAGAACUUCAAAAGUAGAAGCCUUACUCUAUUUAAUUAUUCAUGCAUCAUGAUAGAACUUAGCCGAGUCAGUUAUGUUGUCCGCAUAAUGACUCAUUAAUAGCCCAAAACCAAAGGUCCAUCGAGUUUCCUCGAAACCCAAACAGACAUUCACGUUAUGUGCAUUGAUUUGGAGAACUAAAAGCCUUUUGCUAAUUAUUGAUUUAAAUAGUCGAAUUUGGUGGGGUUAGGCCUAACACUCUAUUUUGGAGGAAAUGAGGCACGAGGUUCCCAAAUUCUGUAUAGUAUCGAACAUUCACCCAAAGUUACUAAGCUGGCGGGAGGAUCUUCAUGGUAGUGAUCAGGUUUUUGUCUGCAAGCACUUAGGAAAUCUUCCUUCACUCCUAGAAGAUAGGCCAACUAACAAGAUUGUGGAAACUGCUACUAUGUUUUGGGAUCGAACGAUCUGUCUUUCGAUUUGGGGGUAUUGAAAUGAUGCCGUUCUUGGAAGAAAUUGGGGUCUAGCCGGAAUUCCUUGGGAUAGCCCGGGGCUACUUAUGCCAGAAAAUCGCAAAGGUAGAGUGUUCCUGAAAAUUAUGGGGGCUCAAGAAGAAUCCUAAUCUGGCCAGUUUGAAGGACUUAUACAUAUCCUUCGACUUCAUGUAUGAAAGGUUCGGACAUAGCAAAUCCUACCGCACUCACAUGGACGAGUUCGCCCUCACCUCUUUAGGGCACAUACAUAGGAGAUCUUUGUAUUCAUGUUCUAUUUCCUGGGCAUGAUAGUCUUUCCAAUGAAGAAUGCUAGAAUCCACACGAGACUAGCCAUGGUAACCAAAGCCGUAAUGGAGGGUAUCGGCGGGCAGACAUUCAGCAUAGCGCCCAUGAUCCUCGCCGAACUGUACCGAGCCUUAGAGAAAUGUCAAUUAUGCCAGAGAACCGCAAAGGUAGAGGGUUCCUGAAAAUGAUGGGGCUCAAGAAGAAUCCUAAUCUGACCAAUUUGAAGGACUCCUACAUAUCUUUCGACUUCAUGUUUGAAUGGUUAGGACAUAGCAAAUCGUACAGCACUCACAUGGACGAGUUCCCCCUCACCUCUUUGGGAAGCAUCUCCAGAAGGGGGAUUAUAGAAAAGCGAUCAUACUCCGAGAUUGGGAUGACCAUAUCGCUUUCCAUCAUCCAAAGCGAAUGCACUUCAUGCCGGGUAUGUUCGCUCGCCCGGAAGACGCUAGUGGAUGGGUAGAAAUAUUGGAGAAUCUGAAAGAAGAGCAUGUACAAUGGAUGUACGAGUGGUUUCCAACUAUGGAGUUUAUCAUUCGGUGUAGGGGCGCGCCAUUCCUUGUACUCAUCGGCUUAAGAGGAACUUACCCUUAUGUCCCUCUCCGAGCCAUGAGGCAAGCGAGAAGAAAGCAGAUUAUACCAAGAGUAGAAAAGAUGAAUCACUACAGGGUUGGUUUCCAAGAUGACGAUAGCCCACACAUGUGCCGGACUCAGCAUAUGUGUCAUUCCAAACUCAUUUUGGAAAAGGAAUCUAUGGAACCAGACAGGUAUCAGGCGGGGCAUGCGCCGUUUUAUCUGGAAUAGUUGAAAAUGAUCAUAGUGGCUUGGGGAAAACAGGUUUCGUCCAUGGUUACAGGGUUAUUGAUGAGAAGACUGCAGCAAAGGUCAAGUACAAUCAGCUUCGCAAACGGAUGCGAGAGUGUGAAAGUGAACAUCGGGAAAUAUAGAGGCCCAAGAGAAGAUAAUCAACGAGUGGAAGGACAUGGCUGUCCACACAAACAAUCGCUUAGGGUACUUGGAACGGGGUUUAGUGGAGCUGGAAGGCAAGUUUCUGAAGAGGAUCAAUAACUGUGAGGAAGCUGAAGGUAACGAAGGUGUGCACUUGGCUCGGGCUUACUUGUUGCUGGGACUGCGCGAGUUGAUGAAAUUGUACGAGGGAGGAAAAGAUACCAAAUCUGGGGAAGGUCCUUCUAGGACCAAGUAGUUAGGAUUUUUUAUUGCUUUCUUGAUGUAAUAAGGCCACUGGCCAUUAGUGACAAUUUCUCUUUAUUUCAGUUUGUUUUGACUCGUUCUAUUUUCUAUCGAUAAAAUGAAGGAUUUUUUAUUGCUUUCUUGAUGUAAUAAGGCCACUGGCCAUUAGUGACAAUUUCUCUUUAUUUCAGUUUGUUUUGACUCGUUAUAUUUUCUAUCGAUAAAAUGAGGCACUUUGUGUUAUAAGUUCUCCAAAUUUUAUCUGCCUCUAGGCUUACCUCGGGCACAACGAGGCACCUAAAUAGGAAACGACUUAUAUUCUUGCAACAACGUGUUUAAAUACCGCAAUGUUUUCUUUCUCAGAAUCUGCACUAACUUUUUAGCUUUUUCCUUUUAUUUUAUUCCCCUCCCUGAAGGUUAGUUCGUGCAUUCUGGCACCAUCAGCAUACUCAACAAGAUCUAAGGGUCCUCCUCUUCCGAGCACCCCCCAGAAACAAGAACAAAGGAAAGAUGGAAGAUAAUUAAACAAGAAAGGAAAUUGAAGGAACUUCCCAAGGUACCCCGUUCACCAAAGAGACUUCUGCUCAUUUGGAGCAAACUUUGCUAAGGUUUCGAGAGGAACUAGAUCAGGUCCAGAGUUUGGCAAGUUUGUCCAUGUCCUAUGCUGCUGCAGAUGUCAACAAUCAGGUCCCUGCACCUCCGCAGAAGACCCCAAUCCAAGCUCGCAACAAUGUUCCACCGCUCAUUCCUGAGCCCCAAAAUGCUCCAAACCACCAAGAUACUCCUAUCUUUGUGGAUACUGUGUCGUACUAUACACAGCUCAUAUCAGAUGUAUCAGAAUCAGACUCACUCAUUCAGAACUUGGCUGCUGAACUUAAGAAACUCACUAACAGGGUUCAAGGCGUGGAAGGUAAUAAAGGUGUGGAGGGUUUAAAUUAUGAAGACCUUUGUGUUCAACCUGAUGUCGAACUCCCAGAGGGGUACAAACCUCCUAAGUUCGAAAUAUUCGAUGGUACGGGUGAUCAUAGGGUUCACCACAGGAUGUAUUGUGACAAGUUAGUGGGAGCUGGUAGAGAUGAAAAAAUCUGCAUAAAGAUAUUCACAAGGAGCCUUAAAGGUGAUGCUUUAUCCUGGUAUAUCAGCCAAGAUGUUAAGAAAUGGACGAGCUGGGUAAAUAUGGCGUCCGAUUUCAUGCACCGUUUCAGGUUCAACACUGAGAAUGCGGCAGGCGUAUUCUAUAUCCAGAAUUUGAAGAAAAAGGCUAAUUAAACCUUUCGCGAGUAUGCUACUCGUUGGAGGUCGGAAGCUGCCAAGGUCAUACCGACUUUGGAAGAAGAACAAAUGAACAGGUUAUUUGUCCGUGCUCAGGAUCCGCAAUACUAUGAGAGAUUGAUGGCGAUAGAGGAGAAGAAGUUCUAUAAUUUCAUCAAACUGGGAGAAAGGAUCCAAGAGGGGAUAAAAUGGUAUGGUUACUAACCUUGAGGCACUGCAAGCCGCGAACAAAGCCUUACAAUCCGGUGGCACGUCGAAGAAAAAGGACAUAAACUCCGUAAUGGCUGCACAGAGAAACCACUCUCCCAUGAAAUAUCAACCCUACCCUCCAACUCCACUCACAUACCAACUCUCUCUAAAUUACCAGGCACCCUCACCUACCUAUCAAAAUCCACCACCGGUCUACCAAACAUCUCCAUCACCAGCAUAUAAGCAUACCUCGCCGGCAUAUUCCCAACCCGCACCUGUAUACCAAGCUUACAACUCUUAACCUCCUCUAUAUCCAUCACCACCUACCCGCCAAAAACUUCCUACGACCAAGACCAAACUUCGACCGCAAACCUCCCAGACAAUACACCGCUAUUGCCGAACCCAUUGACCAACUGUAUGAGAAGCUCAAAGCCUCUGGAUAUGUUACACCCAUCCCAACCAUAAUCCUAGAAAACCCUUUAUAAUAGAUAAACCCAAAUAAUAUAUGCGCAUACACCGCUCGAUAUGUUACACCCAUCCUAUCCAUAACCCCAGAAAACCCUUCCCAAUGGAUCAACCCAAAUAGAACUUGCGCAUACCAUUCGGGGAUCAAGGGCCAUACCAUCGACGAGUAUCGUUCGUUGAGAGAUAAAAUUCAGACCUUAAUUGACAACAAGGUCAUUGUAGCUAAAGACACUACUCCCAAUGUUUGCAAAAACCCUCUACCAGACCAUAAAGUUGGAGGCAUCCACAUGAUUAAGGUUGAAGACGACUAGGACCCCGAAGCGUCAACCGGUUUGAUAUCUGAAAUAGAUGAGCCCAAGAAGACGACGGUCACUCUUAAUACUAUUGUUGUGCAAAUCCAGCCAUCUGAGGGCAUCGUGGUGAAUAUAUUUGUACCAUUUGAGUUCGAGGCACCUCCUGAAAAAGUGCCAAAACUAAUUGAGGUGGAGUUCGGGACUCUAAAGGUGGCCACAACGAUUGAAGUUACUAUGUUGCCUCAAAGGAUGCCCAUUCCGGUCACCAUGUCAGGCACAUCCCCAUUCCAGUUAAAUGCCAUACCUUGGGACUAUACAACCUAGGCAAGAAGGAAGGGAAAAACAUGCAUGGGCGAAGCAAUUGCCGUGCAAGGUAUGACUAGAACAGGCAGGGUGUACACACCAGAGAACCUAGCUGAGUCCAGCAAGCAGGCCUUUGGACGUCCCAUUGAAAUUGGACCUGACAAUCUCUGGAGGAAGAUACAUGCUAAAGAAUAUUCAGUUGUUGAACAGCUAAAUAAGACCCCGGCACAGAUUUCCAUCUUGGCAUUACUGCAGAGUUAUGAGGCGCAUAAAAAUGCCUUGAUGAAGAUAUUGAGUGAGGCUUAUGUCCCGAGAAACAUAACAGGAGGAGAGAUGGCAAACAUGAUAGGGCAGGGAUUGCAAAGUCACAAAAAUCACUUUCCAUGAGGAUGAACGCCACCAUAAGGGCUUGGCCAUAACAAAGUACUACACAUCACUGUGCAAUGUGAAGAUCAUUUCAUCACGAGGAUCUUAGUCGACGGAGGCUCUAGCCUCAACAUCUGUCCAUUGAUCACCCUCAAGAAGUUGGUCAAAGGGUCGCAUGAGAUAAAGGAUGGGGCUAUUAACGUUAAGGCUUUUGAUGGUUCUCAUAGGACCACCCUCGGGGAGAUUAGUUUGUGUUUUCAAAUGGGCCCCACUUGGUUUGAUGUUUAUUUCCAAGUCAUCGACGUAGCGACAUCUUACAAUUUAUUGUUGGGACGAACCUGGAUCCACGCUGCUAAGGCUGUGGCAUCAACCUUCCAUCAGGCCAAGAAGUUCGAAUGGAACCAUCAGGAAGUGAUCAUCUAUUGCGACGGUAGCAACCCCAUAUACAGUCGCCAGACCAUUCCAAUGAUCGGAGGUAGAAGAAGAAUAGGCGGAGAAGCAUAUCAUCAUACUGAGCGAGUCAACACAGUGGACAAGGACAUAUGUUGGAGUAACAAGGUCAAGAGCAUUCUGAAUUGGAGUGGGUAUGAACCAGGGAAAUGACUUGGUAAGAAUCUUCAAGGCAUCACCAAACCUAUCCAGUUGAAGAAGCACGUACUACCUUCGGAUUAGGGUAGGAGUACAGUUGGCAGGAAUUCAAAAACUGGUCACCACCAUGGAGAGACCCAUAUUACCCAUUGGAAUACCGCAUACCUCAGUUGGAGCAGACAUUUCUACAAGCCAACACUCUACGGGUCAGAAGAAGACGAGGCCCUUACGGCAAUGAAGAACCUGUUUCUGGAGGAGGACAUGGACUGUUGUGUGACUUUUGAAGAGGAAUGGGAGGAAUGCCUUUCCAUUCAGGCUAUGAACUAAGGGGAGAACCUCACCAACUGGUCAAUCAGGACCCCCAUCGCUCGGAAAUCUUUGGGGUAGCAAGGCUGAACAAGCAUCGUGCAUAUUUGUUUUAGCUGUUUUCUUUAAUUUCCGCAUUGUAUUUACUUUCCAAAAGAGCUCCGAUGUUUUGAACAUUUAUGAAUUUAAUCAAAAGCGUUUUCAGUUUAUCAAAUAUCUCGUUAUUCAUUACUUUUCUCUGCUAUUUACUUUAUUUCCACACAACAUUACUAUUACCUAUCUUGAUGAUGAACCAACAACUGUAACUUGCAACAAGGCUAUGCAACAGAAGGACAUAGACUCAGAGGAAGAUGAUAUACCAUAUGAGGUUGUCAGAGAGGUCGAGAAUUUUGAGAAUAGACCAAAGUCCAACUUGGAUAAAACUGAGAUCGACAAUUUGGGAGAUACAGAGAAUGUCAAAGAAACGCGCAUCAGUGUGCACUUAUCACAGACAGAGAAAGAGGAAUAUACAGAGUUCUUAAGGGAAUAUGAUGAUAUCUUCGCAUGGUAUUACGACGAUAUGACGGGUCUCAGCACAUCCAUCGUCGGUCACAAGUUGCUGACAAACCCUGCAUGUCCGCUGGUAAAACAGAAGCUUAGAAAAUUCAAGCCAGAUAUGAGUUUAAAAAUCAAAGAGGAGGUCACCAAGCAGGUCAAAGCCAGAGUUCUUCAAGUGGUAGAGUACCCAACCUGGUUAGCUAACAUUGUUCCAGUACCGAAGAAGGAUGGGAAAGUCAGAGUUUGUGUCGACUACCGGGAUCUUAACCGAGCCAGUCCCAAAGACGAUUUCCCCUUGCCAAACAUACAUAUUCUGAUCGACAACUGCGCAACAUAGGUUGCAGUCAUUCAUCGAUUGCUUUGCGGGGUACCAUCAGAUAUGGAUGGAUGAAGAAGAUGCAGAGAAAAUGGCGUUUAUCACGCCUUGGGAAUAUACUGCUACAGAAUGAUGUCGUUCGGACUGAAGAAUGCGGAAUCUACUUAUAUGAGGGCCAUGACUACCAUAUUUCAUGACAUGAUACAUAUGUAUAUUGAGGUAUAUGUGAACAACGUCAUCAUUAAGUCCAGGAAGGCUGCAGAUCACAUGGAGGACCUUCGAAAAAUUUUCAAUAGACUAAGGAGGUAUAACUUGAAACUGAAUCCCGCCAAGUGUGCAUUUGGGGUCCCUGCGGGAAAGUUAUUGGGUUUCAUCGUGAGCCACCGAGGGAUAGAGUUGGAUCCAUCGAAAGUCAAAUUUAUUAAAGAGUUGCCACUGUCGAAGAGCAAGAAAGAGGUAAUAUGUUUCCUUGGGAGACUCAACUAUUUCAGCCGGUUCAUAGCUCAGUCUAUCGUCUUUUGCGAACCUAUCUUCAAGAUGCUAAAGAAGGAUGCCGCCACCAAAUGGACCGAUGAAUGUCAAAAGGCUUUUGACAGGAUCAAGGAAUACUUGUCUACGCCUCCAGUCCUGGUUCCGCCUGAACCUGGAAGGCCUUUAUUUCUCUAUCUUGCAGUUUUGGAUAGAGCAUUCGAUUGUGUCUUGGGAAAACAUGAUGAGACAGGGAGAAAGGAGCAAGCUAUUUACUACCUCAGCAANNNNNNNNNNNNNNNNNNNNNNNNNNNNNNNNNNNNNNNNNNNNNNNNNNNNNNNNNNNNNNNNNNNNNNNNNNNNNNNNNNNNNNNNNNNNNNNNNNNNNNAGGAGCAAGCUAUUUACUACCUCAGCAAGAAAUUUACCCCGUACGAGGCUCGGUAUUCCUUACUAGAACGCACCUGUUGUGCUUUGACCUGGGUAGCUCGGAAAUUGAGGCAUUAUUUCUGUGCUUACACCACCUACCUUGUAUCAAGAAUAUAUGCACAAAAUAUAUUUUUAGAAGCCCACGCCCACUGGCAAGCUCGUCAAGUGGCAAAUUUUGUUGAGUGAAUUCGACAUUGUCUAUGUCACCCAAAAGGCAGUUAAAGGNNNNNNNNNNNNNNNNNNNNNNNNNNNNNNNNNNNNNNNNNNNNNNNNNNNNNNNNNNNNNNNNNNNNNNNNNNNNNNNNNNNNNNNNNNNNNNNNNNNNNNNNNNNNNNNNNNNNNNNNNNNNNNNNNNNNNNNNNNNNNNNNNNNNNUAGAAAAUCCUGUAGGAGGGGAGUAUGAACCAUUGAAGACGUAUUUUCCCAAUGAGGAAGUAACGUUCAUAGGAGAGGAUAUUGCAGAAUCAUAUUACGGUUAGAGAAUGUUUUUUGACGCAGCCACAAAUUUCAAAGGAGUUGGUGUCGGAGCGGUCUUGGUAUCACAAACCGGUCAACAUUACCCGGUAUCCGCCAAGCUCAGGUUCCCGUGCACCAACAAUAUGGCCGAGUAUGAAGCUUGCAUCGUGGGGUUUAAACUGGCCAUUGACAUGAACAUUCAGGAGCUGCUAGUGAUUAGAUAUUCAGACCCGCUCAUACACCAGGUUCGAGAAGAAUGGGCAACUAAGAAUUCCAAGAUACUCCCUUAUCUGCACCACAUAGAGGAGUUGAGAAAGAGGUUCAGAAAAAUAGAAUUCUGGUAUGUUCCAAGUACAGAAUGAGUUCGCAGAUGCGCUUGCCACUUUAUCAUCCAUGAUUCAGCAUCCAUAUACAAACUUCAUCGACCCUAUCCAGGUCAAGAUUCAUUAUCAACCGGCAUAUUGUGCACAUAUUGAGAAAGAAGCCGACGGAAAACCUUGGUUCCACCACAUCAAAGGGUACCUGACAACAGGGAUAGGUCAAGAUUCAGGAUCAACAAGAAUAUUGUGCACAUGUUGAGGAAGAAGUCGAUGGAAAACCCUGGUUCCACGACAUCAAAGAGUACCUGACAACAUGAGUAUAUCUAGAGCUUGCUAAUGCUACUCAGAAGUGCACACUUCGAAGGUUUUCCAACAAUUUCUUUCACAGCGGAGGAAUCCUGUAUAGUAGGACCCCCGAUUUGGGACUAUUAAGGUGUGUCGAUGCGACAAUAGCAACCAAGUUAUUGGACGAAGUGAAAUCAGGGACUUGUGGGCUGCACAUGAACGGUUUUAUUCUAGCAAAGAAGAUACUCCGAGCAGGAUAUUUCUGGAUGACUAUGGAAACAGACUGCAAUCAGUAUGUCUGAAAGUGUCACCGCUAUCAGAUACAUUGAGAUAUGAUAAAGGUACCUCCGAACGAGCUCACUGCAACGAGCUUACCAUGGCCAUUCGCUCCCUCGGGAAUGGAUGUUAUUGGACCAAUCGAGCCUACCGCAUCAAAUGGACACAAGUUCAUCUUAGUGGCAAUUGAUUACUUCACUAAAUUGGCUGAGGCAGCCUCAUACAAGCAGUAACCAAGAAAAUCGUGGCAGACUUUGUCCGAGAUCGUGUUGUCUGUCAGUUCGGGAUUCCAGAUUCGAUCAUCACUGAUAAUGGUUCCAAUAUCAACAGCGACUUGAUGAAAGCAAUGUGCGAAACUUUCAAGAUCAGGCACAAGAUUGCACAACUUAUAGACCUCUGAUGAAUGGAGCUGUGGAAGCAGCCAACAACAACAUCAAGAAAAUACUAAGGAAAAUGAUCGAAAGACAUAAGCAGUGGCAUGAGAAGUUGUCGUUCUCCUUAUUGGUUUAUCGUACUACAGUUCGCACAUCAACUAGUGCAACUCCCUACAUGUUGGUUUACGUACAGAUGCGGUCAUUCCCGCCGAAGUAGAAAUUCCAUCCUUGAGAAUUAUACAUGAAGCUGAGCUAGAUGACGCAGAAUGGGUCAAGGGUCGCUACGAGCAGUUAGCCCUUAUGGAUGAAAAGAGAAUGAAUGCAUUUUGCCACGGUCAGUUGUACCAGAACAGAAUGUCCAGAGCCUUCAACAAGAGAGUUCGACCUAGGAAGUUCACACCGGGAUAGCUGAUGUUAAAGAAGAUAUUCCCACAUCAAGAUAAAGACAAAGGGAAAUUCUCUCCCAAUUAGCAAGGUCCAUCCGGUUCUGACUGAAGGAAGCCUUAUUCUUGCAGAAUGGACGGAGAAAUUUGGCCAAAACCGAUCAACUCAGACGCAGUGAAGAGAUACUACAUUUAAUCAGUAUGUUUUUUUCUUUAUGAUGUAAUUUGAACUACGCCUGACCUGAUUCCCAUUUAAGAGGGGAUAUGUAGNNNNNNNNNNNNNNNNNNNNNNNNNNNNNNNNNNNNNNNNNNNNNNNNNNNNNNNNNNNNNNNNNNNNNNNNNNNNNNNNNNNNNNNNNNNNNNNNNNNNNNNNNNNNNNNNNNNNNNNNNNNNNNNNNNNNNNNNNNNNNNNNNNNNNNNNNNNNNNNNNNNNNNNNNNNNNNNNNNNNNNNNNNNNNNNNNNNNNNNNNNNNNNNNNNNNNNNNNNNNNNNNNNNNNNNNNNNNNNNNNNNNNNNNNNNNNNNNNNNNNNNNNNNNNNNNNNNNNNNNNNNNNNNNCCUCCGAAGUCAGUUUGUUAGUUUUCAUAUCAGCAUCAGCCCAGUAAACUGGGGAAGAAUUUUGAUGAGGACCCUCAACAUUCUGAGGUCAUUUUCAGUCAUUCAGCACCGCCGUCAAUAAUGCCAGCUCAGUAAAAUGGAGUCAGUAAGGUUGCCAUGCCUUGAACCACGUUGCAUUUGUGGUUCAUCAAAAAACAAAACUAUCCUUUCUCUACUUAUAUAUAUAUUCAUUUGCAUCAUGAUUGCCAAAAUUUGCAUAAAAUCAUUUGGAUCAUCGUUCAGAAACACUACCCCAAAUUAUACAAGGCGCCACGAGCCGAGGGAUGCGAACUAACCUCCCCCUUACAGAACUCACGAUUUUUCUUUGGAUGGAGGAAUUCAGAAUACAAAUAGGCGAUACAUGGGCUUUACAAAAAUGAAUUUCUCGAAACCACUACUGGCCUCGCAAAUGUUUACUAUCUACAUGCAACACUUCCCCAACAGUCAUGAUAUCGCAAUCAUCUACAAGCUAAGAAAAUCACCACCACCCUCUCCGUUAUAUAUCUGCAUUUCUGCAUAAGGCUAUUCUCUGCCUUCCGAGGUUAAGAUCUACCUCCAUCCUGCAUAAGGCUAUUCUCUGCCUUCCGAUGUCAAGCUCUACCUCCAUCCUGCAUAAGGAUAUUCUCUGCCUUUCGAGGUUAAGCUCUNNNNNNNNNNNNNNNNNNNNNNNNNNNNNNNNNNNNNNNNNNNNNNNNNNNNNNNNGGUUAAGUUCUACCUCCAUCUUGCAUAAGGCUAUUCUCUGCCUUCCGAGUUUAAGCUCUACCUCUAUCCUGCAUAAGGAUAUCUUCUGCCUUUCGAGACUAAGAUCUAUCUCCAUCUGCAUUUUGCAAAAGGCUAUUCUCUGCCUUCCGAGGUUAAGCUCUACCUCCAUCCUGCAUAACGCUAUCUUCUGUCGUUCGAGGUUAAGCUCUACCUUCAUCCUGCAUAAGGCUAUCUUCUGCCUUUCGAGACUAAGCUCUGUCUCCAUCGGCAUUUUUGCAUAAAGCUAUCUUCUACCUUUCGAGACUAAGCUCUGUCUCCGUCAGCAUUUUUGCAUAAAGCUAUCUUAUGCCUUUAGAGACUAAGCUCUGUCUCCAUUGACAUUUUUGCAUAAGGCUAUCUUCUGCCUUUCAAGGUUAAGCUCUACCUCUAUCCUGCAUAAGGCUAUCUUCUGCCUUUCGAGACUAAGCUCUGUCUCCCUCUUACAGAACUCACGAUUUGUUUUUGGAUGCAUGAAUCCAGGGUGUAAAUAGGCGAUGCAGGAGCUUUACAAAACCGAAGCUACCGCACUACCUACCUCACAAAGGCUUACUCUCUACAUUGAACACUUCCCCAGUAGUCAUCGAUAGCGCAAUCAUCUACCAGCUAAAAAAAUCACUAUCAUCCUCUCAUUUAUGUUUCUGUUUUUUUUUAGACUAAGCUCUGUCUCCGUCUCAAUUUUUGCAUUGCAUAAGGCUAUUUUCUGCCUUUCGAGGCUAAGCUCUGUCACCAUCCUGCAUAAGGCUAUAUUUUGCCUUUCGAGACUAAGCUCUGUCUCCAUCUGCAUCCUGCAUAAGGCUAUUCUCUGCCUUCCGAGGUUACGCUCUACCUCUAUCCAGCAUGAGGAUAUCUUCUGCCUUUCGAGACUAAGCUCUGUUUCCAUCCUGCAUUGCAUAAGGCUAUUCUCCGCCUUCCCAGGUUAAGCCCUACCUCUUUUAUUUUACAUCCGGCUGAAAGAUCGCCACCCUGUCUCAUUUGGCUGAAACGUCGCCACCCUUUCAUUCAUUUGGCUAAAAUAUCACCACCUUGAAGUUUAAAUUCUUGCUCGGCUGAAAGAUCGCCACCCUUGAAUUCAUCCGGCUGAAAAUAUUGCUAUAUUCUCAUGGCCUGAAAUAUCGCCAACUUAUUCAAAGACAUCAUAGUUUAGAGGUAUCAUCCGCACAGCCCGAGAACACCAUUUCAUGGCCUGCGAAUCUUUAAUUUUACGCUCUUCAUAGCCUAGGACGUCAUAGUUUGAGGACGCCAUCCUAAUCGUCCGAAGACAACAUUCAUGGUCCAAGACCAUUUCAUGGCCUUCAAAUCUUUACUUUUAUGCUCUUCAUAGCCCAGGACGUCAUAAUUUGAGGACGCCAUCCUAAUCGUCCGAAGACAGCAUUCAUGGUCCAAAAGGAACUUGUAUCACGUUUAAAUUAUGCAGUAUAUCCGCUCAUCAUUCAUUUGCAGGUACACCGGCUGGCACAGUCGUCCCAGCAGGAGCGAUCCCGCUCCAGUUUUUCGCAACCUUCCGACCUCCGAACCAUUAUCAAAUCUCAAACCCCGUUGCAUCCGUCUUUUUCGAACUUUCAUCGGCAUGUUCCGCCAAUGGUCCCUGAACUACAUACGGCCUGAUUCCUGUAAAACCAGAUAUAUGUAGGCGGCUCAAAGGCCGUAGUGCAGUCAAAACUCUCUUACAAUCGCCAAUUCCGGUCAAAAUUGGCCAUCUUAUCUUUACCCGCUUCAUCCUCCUCGGGUAAAGAGGGGCAACUGUUGAUACCCAAUUUUUUCCUAUAUAUUUUUUGCACCCAAAAUACUAUUAGAAUAGUAUAUAUAUGCAUAUAUAAGCAAGUCGGGGAACUUUGGUAUUUUUCUUUAAUUUUUGAGAUAUUUUAAAAUCAUUUUACUGCUUAUUUUUUACAGUAUAAAGCCUAAAAUUAUUUUUCAAAUUAUUAUUUUUAGUGAAUAAUGUGCUUCACUCCCAUAUUUACAACAAAAUAUAAUUUAUGGAAUUUUUUCACAUAUUUUACAAAUUUAUUUGGAAUUUUAAAGAUUAAUUGCACAAAAUUGUAAUUAUGGCCAAUUUCAUAAUUAACUAUGUUUCAUAGUUAUAAAAUUAUUUCUAGUAUUUUUAGAUUAAUUUUUAUAUGUUAUUAAUUAGUUAUAUAUUUAAAUUUUACUUUUUAAACUAUUUUAGCUAUUUUAUAAAAUUAAUUGGGAGAAUUUGACUAUUUAAAAGUUAGCCAUAUUUUAUUUAAUUGUAGCUAGGGGUGUUCAAAACCGAUCCGAAACCGAAAACCGAUCCAAACCGAAGCUUAACGGCNNNNNNNNNNNNNNNNNNNNNNNNNNNNNNNNNNNNNNNNNNNNNNNNNNNNNNNNNNNNNNNNNNNNNNNNNNNNNNNNNNNNNNNNNNNNNNNNNNNNNNNNNNNNNNNNNNNNNNNNNNNNNNNNNNNNNNNNNNNNNNNNNNNNNNNNNNNNNNNNNNNNNNNNNNNNNNNNNNNNNNNNNNNNNNNNNNNNNNNNNNNNNNNNNNNNNNNNNNNNNNNNNNNNNNNNNNNNNNNNNNNNNNNNNNNNNNNNNNNNNNNNNNNNNNNNNNNNNNNNNNNNNNNNNNNNNNNNNNNNNNNNNNNNNNNNNNNNNNNNNNNNNNNNNNNNNNNNNNNNNNNNNNNNNNNNNNNNNNNNNNNNNNNNNNNNNNNNNNNNNNNNNNNNNNNNNNNNNNNNNNNNNNNNNNNNNNNNNNNNNNNNNNNNNNNNNNNNNNNNNNNNNNNNNNNNNNNNNNNNNNNNNNNNNNNNNNNNNNNNNNNNNNNNNNNNNNNNNNNNNNNNNNNNNNNNNNNNNNNNNNNNNNNNNNNNNNNNNNNNNNNNNNNNNNNNNNNNNNNNNNNNNNNNNNNNNNNNNNNNNNNNNNNNNNNNNNNNNNNNNNNNNNNNNNNNNNNNNNNNNNNNNNNNNNNNNNNNNNNNNNNNNNNNNNNNNNNNNNNNNNNNNNNNNNNNNNNNNNNNNNNNNNNNNNNNNNNNNNNNNNNNNNNNNNNNNNNNNNNNNNNNNNNNNNNNNNNNNNNNNNNNNNNNNNNNNNNNNNNNNNNNNNNNNNNNNNNNNNNNNNNNNNNNNNNNNNNNNNNNNNNNNNNNNNNNNNNNNGUGGCUAACGGAUUAAUACAUUUAAAAGCCGAUAACCGUUAAGCCAAACCGUUAAGAGUAAAAGCCGCCCAAUCCGCCCGAUGAACACCCCUAAUUGUAGCCCAAAUUGAACCCCUAUGUCAGCCCAAUUUUUAACCCAAUUUGACAAAGUAAGCCGACCCAUACCCCUUUUUAUUUACUCGACCAUCCUAGAUUCAAUCUGAGCCGCUGAUCAAAGGAGAUCAACGGUCCGGAUUUAAUUUCCUAAAUUAAAACCUAAUUACCCCUACCAUCACCCUCAUUUUUGCAAAGCCCGGUCUCUCUAUAACCCUUCGUCUCUGAUUCUCUCUAGAACCUUUUGGUUCUCUCUCUAAUCUCCGAUGGCAUUCAUCGUCGUUCCGGCCACCUCCACCCUCACUCCUCUCGACCACCACUCACCAUGGCACCUCAUCUCCGUAUUUCUCUCUAUGACUCGAAAUCCAGAAGCUUUCGCCAUGGAAGACAGUCGGUUGAAGCUUGCUUGGGUCUGUGCCAGUUUUUCUCCGGUGGUUUUUACACGACAAUGCUCUAUAUGGCCUUGAUGAUGAGUUUCACGGCCAUGUUGCUCCUAUCUAUAACUCGUCUGCAAACCCUAAUUUUUUCUAUUCAAAUCUCUUUAAUCUUUUUACUUUAGAAUGAUUUCUCACUCAAUUUUUCAAGUUGUCUCAUGUUUUUCGAUGAAUUUUUCGUUCUCAAAAUUAGGGUUUCUGACCCCUUUUUUCAAAAUCGCUUCUUCUGAUUUUCUUGAGUGUUAUGCGAUUGUUCGUGCUUGUUUGUAUUACGAGUUUUUUUUUGGUUCCUUGUAAACCUCGGUUCCAUGCCUUAAUUUUCUUGCUAGUUUUCCGACCCUUUGUUGCUUCCAUGCUUUUACUUGCUUAGGGUUCUCUGAAUUUCUUGUCUAUUAGGCUUUAUAGGCCUAAAUUGUUCAUCUUUCGGAAUAUUCUACUGACAUCUCUGUUAAUCUAUGAUUUGUAUGUGAUUUUCCUUAGACGUUUUAUUGAUUUCUUUUGAAAUUACUUCCUUAUUUGGGUAUGCUUUCCAUACUUAGAAACAAUUCCCUCUAACUUAGGUCUUGCGCGAGAUUCUUUAACUAAUUAUUAGAAUUGGCUUGCAUGCUCUCGUUAUUUAAGAGACAAUUCUCUCUUAUUUUGGGUUUUGCCCGUGAUUCUUUGACUAAUUGUCAGACUAUUUUGUAUUCCCUUACCAUAUUUGUGCAUGAACAGGCUUUCAAAAUCUUAAUCAUAUAUUUUCCUUACUUAAAUUACUAUUAAUCUAACCAUUAUUGCAUAUUAUAUGCUAUACUACUCUUACUAAGGUAAAUGCAAUAGUUUAAUUGAUUCCUUUCCUUCUAAAACCCUCUGUUUGUUACCGCUUGUCUUGGAUUCCUUAAUUAAAAGGGAGUCCUUAUACUUAUUUGAUUGUAAUUGAUACUAGUCCCGUUACCGAUUGUCUUUGAUUCCUUAAUUAAAAGGGAGUCCUUAUACUAAUUUGAUUGUGAUUGAUACUAGUCCUUAAUCAAAGAUUAUUGCUUGUUUAUGUACUCGUUUUCCAGUACUAUAAAUACUCCCCCCUUUUCUCUUUGAAGGACACCAACACACACUACACACUCUAUGAAUUCUCUCUUUCUCUGCUAUUACUAUACUCUCUCAUUCUCUUAUUUGAACAUUCAAUCAGCUGAAAGCCAAUAUUGAGUAGCUCGGGUUGAUUACUUCUAUACUACUGGGUUCUAUUGUUUGUUUACUUGGGUUUGCUACUGCUGCUACUCUUAUACUGCUGCUGCACACUGUUAUUCUCUUCGCUACUCACACACUCUGAUCACCUUGUUCUUCCGUGCACUAUUGCUCACUGCUAUUGUGUUCUAUUACAUGCAACUGGUAUGUCAUCCCUUUAAGAUAUAGUUUCUAAAACAACAUGUUUCUAUUAUUUUUGCAUUUCAUAUUGUUCAUUGUGUGCUUUUACUUAUGGUUUUGUUGCUCUUUUUUGUCACUAGCAUGCACUUACUAGUCUACUUAGUUUAGCUUAACAUACUCCCCUUACCCCUUUCUUGUCUCAAUGAAUGUUUUCCUUUCCCUUGUGCAUUACGACUAUGUGUCCAGUGCUGCUUGGCUACUUGAUUAGCCCUAUACCUCUGCUUGAUUGGGGUUUGGUGUAGUAAGAAUUGAACCCCUGAUUCUGCAACUAUGUUUGAUUACUUUCCUCCAAUAUGUUGCAUGUGUGUGAGUAGUUCACUUUACUUAUUUGGUCCCUUCCCCCUCUCCCCUAUUUGUGUGAUGCUCUGAAAAGGUCCAAAUGAUUUAAGAAGAAUUUUUUUAACUCUUUCAACUGUUUUCUCAAACUGUCUCAACCUUUUUAACUGUUUUUCUCAAGCUAUCUCUUAGUUGUUUUUUAACUCUCUCAAUUCUAUCACAAUCUCACUACUCUAAGAACAUUAGGUUCCGCCCCCUUAGUGUAAGCAUCGCCACGGGAGCCCUUGAGCACCCAUUGAACGUUGAUGCACAAGACUUGCACUUCCACACUUGCACUUGUCUAAUAAUGAUAUUUUGGGUGAUUGGUAUAGGCCAGGGGUUCAAACGAAUCCCUAGGGAACUUUGCCGCACCCAAGCCUUGGUAAUGGUUGUGAAACUCGAAAGAAGUGAGGUUGGAGAUGCUUGGCCUGGCUGAAGGCUCGCUAUAGAGUAACUUCGUAUUUUCUUUUAUCACUGUUGUAAUUUAAUUACUUGGGCUGUAAUAAUUUGUAAAGAACAAUGUGGAUUAUAGUGAAUUGGGAGGGCUAUGCAUGUUUAUUUAAGGGAAUGGGUAGAAAACAUGUCUAUAGGCCUUUAUUUACCUAUUUGUGCAAUAGAUACCAUGUUUUAGGACAUGCAUCCUCACAUAUAGAAAUCAAAGGGAAUGGGUAGAAAACAUGUCUAUAUGAUUUUAUUUACCUAUUUGUGCAAAAGAUACCAUAUUUUAGACAUGCAUCUCACAUAUUGAAAUCAUGUUCUUUGGAUCUUCAGUUUCAGUUUGUUAUUCUGAAUAUUUUUAUAACCAUGACUAAUUAAUAAUCAUCAAGUCAUCAACCUCACAUUUAAAUAUCAUGAUCAUAGUAAUUUUGUGCAUUAGAUACCAUGCCUUUAAGGAUUUAAUUUGCAGUUGUUUACUUCGUUUAUCUGGGUUAAAAAUUGGUUAACAGCUCCCUCUUUAAUACUGGAAGCAAAUGUGCAUGCUCGUCAUCCUUUAAUAACGUCUAGGCAAGCCUUAGGCCGGAUAAAAUGGGCUAAUCACCUCUAAGUCAUGUUCGAACUAAAUCUGCCUCUGCCUGAACUCGUCUGUUUCUGAAUUUGUCUAAAUGUUUUAUUAACUUCUGCCCUAGUUUAAUACUUAUGCAAGUGAUUUCUACUUUAACCAGAACUUGCCUACUAUUUUCCAUACAAUAUAAAAAUUUUUUAUAAACUUCUGCCCUAUUUUAAUACUUAUGCAAGUGAUUUCUACUUUACCCAGAACUGACCCACUAUUUUCAAACCAUAUAUGCAAAAGUUUUCUACUGUGUUUUCUCGUCCAGCACUUGGCUAGCUAUCUUGUAAUCUUCAAGGGUUUAAAACCUGACAUGUGUUCCUUUAUACUUCUGCAAUCUCAAAAUAUUUCCAUAUCUAUUCUUCUAUUCUGCUUGUCCAAAAACUGUGUUCCACAAACAUUUUGAAUAUAUCUGUAGAUUUUCUAAAACUGCUACUACCUCUUUGAAAGUUCUGAACGUUUUCCCUUGUGUUACUUUUCUACAAAAACUUCCAAACUUCUAUUUAAUUUAUAUUCUAGUUUUUCGAAAGAUUCUUCUUUCCCUAGAUCUUAAAUGUGUUCGAUUCGUGCUAAUUAUGUGUUCGUAUAUAGAGGGAUAUUUGAGUCGUUUACAUGCUUAUAUGUUUCCCUUUAUGUGCAAAUCCUAUUUGUUCUUGAAUGACAUUUAGAAUUUUAACCUUUUAACCUAGAGGUUUAGCCUACUCCCUACCUAAUAGGAAUAUUGAUCCUAAAUGCCCUCUAGUAUCUAUAGGAUGGGACUCGUACUCAGAAACCUUGUACUCUCACGAGUCUAACCAUAUAAAAAUCUCCCAUAUCGGAGGUCAAAUGCCCCUACAAAUCCUCACAAUUAGGUCUAAUAAGUUUACCCAAAUUUUCAUUCAAAAAUUCAAAAUUAAAGGUUUAAUUCACGAUUAGAUUAGUGGUUUUAGUCAUAGGAGAGUAAGGAAUCAUUACCCAAUAUUUGCCUCUGAAAAGCCCUCAAAAAAUCUCCCAAAACCGAACUCUCUAGCUUGAGUUUUUGUAAAAAUGGAAGAAGGGUUUGUUUUGAUAUGUUAAAUACUGGUUAGGGGUUUAAUGAAUCGCGAACGCGGGAGGUCCACGCAUUCGUGUAGAGGAAAAAUAUAUGUGACCAUAUUUCCCCUUCGCAAUCACGAAGGGACAAUGCGAACGCGAUGGCUUGGGGGCCUGAUAGGUACGCGAACGCGAAGGGAAUACGCGAACGCGGAGAAGGAACUAGAGGGGGUCUAGGACUUGAACAUCGCGAACACGUGAAAUGGGACGCGAACGCGGAAGAGGGGCUGGCUGAACUUCGCAAAUGCGAGAGAACAAAAUAACUACAAUGAAAGGGUAAGGGCACAGCUACGUGAAGGUGAUGCCCCUUCGCGAUCGCAUAGAAGGAACCACUUACUGCAAAUUUUCUGCUGCACUUUCAAGACUCCAAAUGCUCCGUUGAGCAUCCGAAAAUCACCCAAGGCCUCCGGGACCUCAACCAAAACCACAGACAUAACCCAUAACAUCAUUCAAAAUUGUACCAGUCCUUAAAGCACCUAAAACAACGCCUAAAACUCGAACUAAUCAAUAAUUUGAACUUAAAAACUUCAAAACUUAACCAAACUCGCUUUCGAUAAAAAACCUAACCAAAACACGUCCGAUUGACCUAAAAAUUUUGCACGCACAUCCCUAAUGACAUGAAGGUGCUACAAAAACUUCCGGAAUCUCGUUCCGACCCUCGGAUCAAAAUUUCACUACCGGACCAAAACUUUAAAAUUCUAACUUUUGGUAUUUCUAGCCUAAAUGAACUACGGACAUCCAAAAUACAUUCCGAACACGCUCCCAACCCCGAAAUAACCUAACGGAGCUAAAAGAACCAUCAGAUUUCCAUUCUGAGGUCGUCUUUACACUGUUUGAUUACGUACUAUUUUCCAACACUCAAGCUCUUAUUUAGGGACUAAGUGUCCCGAAACACUCCAAAUUUCUAUUACCAAACAUACCGGUAAAUCAAAAUAGAAAAAAUAAACUUAGGGGAAGCAGUUAAUGAGGGAACAAGGUAUAAAUUUCAAAGACGACCGGCCGGAUCGUCACAUAAAACUUUAGGACAUCAUAUCCUUAACUUUAUAUGUGUAGUGCAAUUAGUAAGGACAUAGUAUCCUUAACUUUAUUUGUAUUGUGUAAAUAUUAAGGACAUUGUGUCAUUAACUUCAUGAGUGUUGUGUAAAUAUUAAGGACAAAGUGUCAUGUAUUUUCACCUCCUAUUGUUAAACUUUAGGACAUGUUGCCCUUAACUUAAUGAAUGUUUUGUAAAUAUUAAGGACAAAAUAUCCUUAAUAUUUACAUAUCACUCAUGAAGUUAAUAUUUACACAUCACCCAUGAAGUUAAUAUUUACACAUCCUCAUGAAAAAGGGUAAUAAUGUCUUUUCAUAUUAAUUUUAAUGGAGUAGUGACUAUCAUUGCUCAGCAUAAAAAAGUAUUGGAUAAAAGCUAAACACCACAUUAAAAAGUGGUUAUCCCACGCCAUUUCUACUUAAUCAAGGGUGAAACUGGAACUGCUCUAGAAAUAUUGUCCAUGUUUUUUUUAUAGAAAUGAUACCAUGUAGCCACUCUAAAGGCUUGCUAUUUAGAAAUUAGCCGGUGUAUCCUCAACUUUAGUUUUUCCUUUGAGCUUUUCAGGAUAAAAAUGUCCUAUUUUUUCUUAAAUUUAAGAUUUUUAGUUUAAAAUUUUAGGUCUAAAUAAGUAUUGGCUAAUCUCUAAAUAACAUCCUUGAAAAUGACUAUCUGUGUGUUUACCCCAUGUUUUUGAAUAUAUUUAGAAAAUGAUCGUUAUAUUGGUUGUUAGGGAUUUCUCUAUCAAGCUGAUAGAUUUUUUGCUAUAUUUGCUCUACUUAUUUUGUUAAUUAUUUACAAAUUCUAUCCCGUUGGCAUAACUUUGUAAUUGUUCAAUUGCUCACCAAACUUUAUCAUAUUGCUAUAACUUUAUGUUAUUUGUAUGUGAUAUGCAGUCAACCCUCUAUGUAAUAUCAUCGAUUGUUCCAGUAUUUUUUUAGUUUUUAUAGUGAAUGGUUAUUAUACACCUAUAACCGCAUUUGACGUUUAAAUAUUUUUUGGUUGUUAUAGAUAAAAAUUAUCCAACAAAUAAUUAUUUUUCCUUUUCUAAUGUUACAUAUGAAAAAUAAGACAAGUAUUAAAAUUUAAAAUCUCAAAAAUAUGCAUAUUGUUCUAAUUAAAUACUAAGAAAAGUUAAUACAUUAUUAAUAAAUUCAUAACUAAAAGUAUAAAAAUUUAAACUCUAAGACAGACAUUUCUAAAUCUACCUAAAAAUAUAUAAAAACUCAAAAUUGAUGGAAGAACUUUGCAAUUAUAGCUUGUUUCGUGUAUUUCAUUCUCUUACAAUCGAUAUAACACUGAAUUGCUGCAGAUUCGUGUCCAAAUUUUCAGCAGAAAAGUAUCCAAUGGCUUUAUCUUGAAGACAAUCUAAUAGCAUAAUUCAAUUUUUAUUCAAAUAUUUUUAAAAUAAUUCCAAAAAAAAAAAGAUAUCAUGUGCAAAUCUUUAAAUCUUAUAGCUAAUAUAAGAUAGAAACUUUGUUUAAUGGAAAAGAUUGGUACAGAUUUUUAGAAUUACCAGUAUAUAUGAAUGUGUGUUGCACACUAAUUAUAGCACAUGGUGGUUUAACCAUUUAAAUCAUCUGAAAUUCAAAAAUAUUAUUACAUUAGCAUAAUAGGCGAAUUCAAAAUAAAAGGACUUCAUUAGAACUUACACAAAUAAUCAAUUAAUCAUGUUAGUUAGAUAGUUACGUAUUAUAGUAUAGCAUUAUUUAAUUUGACGGUAUCUUACCGAAUACUUAUUUGUAGAUUAAUUAUUUUAUGUAUGUUUCCUUCUAAUAUUUUGGUUGAUCCGCCAUAACUAGAGCUCAUGUUCUCGAUAUUGAUACUCCUCUUUAUAGUGCAACAUAUAGUUGUUAGUGCAAUAAAAUAUAUUGCGAUAAAUAUAGUCCAAUAUUUAAGAUGUUUGUUCUCGGGGUAGGGGUAAGGACUGCGUACAUAUUACCCUCCCAGACCCCACUUUUGGGAUCAUACUGGGAUGUUGUUGUUGUUGCAAAAUAUAAAUAUACCAAAAAUUAUUUUCACAUAAAUUUAAAGGAUAUUCUUUAGAUUCUAAAGACGAAAAUUGGAUUCUGGGAUUAAAAUAUGCUUAAAAAUACAUUGACUAGUAUCAUAAUUUUUGCACGUAUAACAUUAUUUUCAAAACUUCUAUAUACCAUCUAUAUGUUGUUACAUAGGCUAUUCAGCGGAUCUAAGUUUUUCAGUAGCAUGACGGGCAUAGUUUUCUUCAAAAUCAAUCUAUAUAAAAUGGAAGAUCAAUUUUAAAUUAGUGUAUUACAUAUACAUGACAUACAUAAGAAAAAAUAAUCUUGACAACAAACAUGUAUGAUGGAAGACCAUUUAGUAUUAAAGUAUUUAAAUAUUCUUCUUAGUAGCAAUUGUUGGUAUCAUAUUCUGCUGAGUCAAAAACUAAAAAUAUCUUAAUUUUAUAAUAACAUUUUGCAAUUAACCUUUUUAGUUAGUCAAUCAACAUAUUCAUUUCUCCUAACUUAGUGUAACGACCCGGCUAGUCGUUUCAAGAGUUGUAUCCCAGUUCCCCUACUUUCUGCUUCUUUUUUGUUCUACAGCUGUAUUGUGACUUAUCGGGUUAGUUGGUUCAUGUCUGGAGUGAUUUCGGAGUGAAUUAAGAUACUUAGUCUUUUAUUUGGAAGCUUAAGCUGGAAAAGUUUACCCGAUGUUGACUUAUGGGUAAAUGACCUUGAAUUUAAAUUUUGAUGGUUCUGUUGUCUCCAUAAGGUAAUUUUGGAGUUGGGAGCGCGUCAAAAUUUUGAUUUGGAGGCCAGUAACAGAAUUAGAUUUGAAUUGACGAAAGUUAGAAUUUCGGAGAGUUUGACUGGAAGUGAACUUUUUUUAUAUCGGGCUCGGAUUGGAGUUUCUGAAGUUAGAGUAGGUUUGUGGUGUCAUUUAUAACUUGUGUGCAAAAUUUAUGGUCAAUUGGAUGUAGUUUGAUAGGUUUCAACGUAAUUUGCAAAAUUUGAAAAUUUCAAAGUUCAUUAGGCUUGAAUUCAUGUGUAAUUCAUGUUUUUGAUGUUGUUUGAGUGGAUUUGAGGAUUUGACUAUGUCCAUAUAGGGUUAUAAGACUUGUUGGUAUAUUUAUGAGGUCCCGGGGACAUCAGGAUGAUUUUAGGUGGUUAACAGACGUGACGUUUGAUGUUGAAGGACGGCUGAAGUUGUGAUGCUUCUGGUGUAACCGCACCUGUGGAGUGGUCACCGCAUGUGCGUGGCCGUAGAAGCGGGAAGAGGGACGCAGAAGCGAACUAGGCGAAGAAAAGCUGGAACCGCAAAUGCGAAUUCUUUCCCUCAACUGCUAGGCCGCAGAUACUGGUAUUGGGCCGCAGAAACGCAUGGGCGCUAGGUGAGUGAGCUUCGUAGAAGCGGACAACCCACUGCAGAAGGUGUCCGUAGAAGCGGUUAACUGAACCGUGGGUGCGAUUUUGCUGAGCAGAACCUAUAAAUAGAAGACUUCGAGAUUUUUCAUCUUUUUUACAUUUUGGAACUUAGAUUUUGAAAUGAUUACUGAGGUAAGCUUCUUGUGCCCAUUUAUCUUUAAUAAUAAUAUUUUCCCACUAAUUUUACACCUAGAUGACGAGUUUUUAAGGUAUAAUUUUGGGGUUUAUGGCUUGAGAAUUGGAGAGUGAAUUUUGGGGAUUUGAGUGACCAAAUGGUGUUAGAUUUUUGUAAAUUUAGUAUGGUUAGACUCGUGAGUGAAUGAAUUUCGGGUUUUGUGAGUUUUGUCGGACUUCGAGACCUACUCCUGGGGGCUGGGUUGUGCCAAUUUCGGAUUUUUGGGUCUAAGUUAGUAGUUUUUAUUGGAAUUGAUACCCUUGGCCAAUAUUGAUUGUAUUGUACUGCUUGUGGCUAGAUUCAGGGCAUUGGGAGGCCGACUCGCGAGACAAGAGCAUUUUAGAGUAGAGUUUUGCUCGAAUCGAGAUAAGUAACAGUUAUAAAUCUGGUAUUGAGGGUAUGAAACUCUAGAUUUAGGCUAUUUGCAGGUGACAUACAUGUUAGGUAACGGGCGUGUGGGCGUGCACCGAAGGGAUUGUGACUUGGUCUAUCCCGUGUGACUGUAAUGUUGAAUAGCUUACUAUUAUCUACGUGUUUCCUCUAUUUUAUGGAGAUUUGACUGAAAUUCAUGUUCAUGCUUAGGCCAUAUGAUAUCACUAUUGGGACUCGUUGAGGUCGUGUACUUGUCAAAAUAGUUCCUACUUGCUAUCUUAUACUCUGUCAUGAUUUUACUUGUGUACCAUACCUCUAUCUCUUCUUAUUCCUCAUUGAUACAUGUUAUUAUCUCUGUUUGGGCUGAUUUAUAUGAUUUCUGAGAGCCUGAGAGACUAGGGAGAUUGAUGAUUGAGUGAGGCCUUGGGCUCGACGGUGAGUUAUUGAUACCAUAGCACGUGAGUUAUCCGUGCAACACGCGAGUUGUCCGUACGAAUCUUGAUUUGAUAUUAUUGCACAUGAGUUGUCCGUGUGGAUUAUAGAGCUUGGGUUAUAGGAGCCCUUUCGGAGCCUGCACACCCUAGUGAUUGAUUGAGCUCUUGAGAUGAGUUGAGUGACUGUUUCAUGUGAGGUUGUACUUGCUUUCAUUUGUUGUUUGUGCUUAGUUGAUAUUUGUCAUUGUUGUGAAAUUCUUGGAAGGUUUUAUAUCCAGUUUACUUGAACUUGACACUUUAUGAUGGCUUAAACUACCGGAUUUGAAAGCAUGUAUAUUCUUCACAGAAAUACUAAAAUAAAUUGUACUGUAUAGCCUGUCACUACUUCUUAGUUCCUUAUUUGAUUUUGUUACUUAUUUAGUUAGUUGUACUCACACUACACCAUGCACUUCAUGUGCAAAUCCAGGUGCGUCCGGUCACGUAUGACAUUGAGCUCGUGCGUGGUCGAUUACCAGAGAUUUACGAGGUAGCUGUCGGCGUUCGCAGUCCUUGUUCUCCUUCUUUUCUAUGUUGACAUUUCAACACAGAUCAUUGUAAACACUGUCUCUUAUUCUAGAGAUCUAGUUGCGCGUGACUUGGUGACACCUCAAUGUUUGGGGCUAUCUUUCUGCAUUAUAUUUUGAGUUUAACUCCUAUUUUUAUGAAAACCCUGUUAUGAAAAAAGCUUUUGGUAUAUAUUUUAUGAGAUAUCGAAUUACUUUGAAAAUUGUCUUGCCUAGUACCAUUGAUAGGUGCCAUCACGACAAAUUAGGGUUUUGGGUCGUGACAAGUUGGUAUUAAAGCCUAGGUCACACAGGUCUAACGAGUCAUGAGUAGGUUUAGUAGAGUCGUAUGGAUCGGUAUGGAGACGUCUGUACUUAUCUUUGAGAGGCUUAAGAACCCUUAGGAAACUUCACAUUCUUGAAUUCUUAUCAUGCAAAUCUGUUGAUUCUGUAAUCAAAUUUCUAUUAUUCUAUUCUCUCACGGAUGGUGAGGACACGUGCUACUAGACAGGAUGGACAACCACCAGUACCACCAGUUAGGGCUGUGAGAGGCUAAGGUCGCGGUAGAGGCCGUGGUAGGGUCAGAGGUGCAGCUCGCACAACAACUAAGGCAACACUUGUAGAUCUACCGGUUGUCCCAGUUUAGGAUCCUGUCCAGUUAUUGAUGCGCUAAGGGGACUAGCUCAGGCACCAAUUGUGCCCAUUAUUAUUAGGCCUUCAGGAGGCCUUGGUGCAGAUAUUGACCUUGUGUACCAGUCUUGCUCGGGCGGUCUCUUUUCCGGCCACAGUACCCACUUCUCAGGCUGGGGGAAGUACUUAGACUCUCGCCACUCGCACACCCGAGUAGGUGAUGCAGGGACUCUAGACACCGAGAUAUCGCAGCCCAGCCGGUUCUAGUUGUUCAGGACUAUGUGGUUCAUGUCAUGCCCGAUGAUAAGCAUCAUAUAUUGGAGAUGUUUGGGAGGCUCAAGCCUCCAUUUUUCAGCGGUGCAAAGGGAGAGGAUGCCCAUGGUUUCCUUCAUAGAUGUUAGAGGAUUCUCCCAAUAGCAGGUAUUUUGGAGGCCAGUGGGGUCUCGUUCACUAUUUUUUAGUUCACAAGAGUUGCCUUCACUUGGUGGGAGGCUUAUGAGAGGCGUAUGCUAGUUGGUGCAGCGCUACUUACAUGGCAGGAAUUCUUCGUUCUAUUCUUGGAGAAGUAUGUACCGCAGUCUUGCAGAGAGGAGUUGCAUAGACAACUCGAUUAUUUGCAUCAGGAUGAUAUGUUUGUGAUGUAGUAUGAGAUUAGAUUUUUUGAGUUAACCCAUUGUGUUGUUUAGGUGGUUCUCAUAGACGUGGAGAGGAUCAGGAGGUUCGUUGAUGGCCUCACAUUUCAACUGUAAGUGAUUAUGACUAGAGAGAGGGUGACUGGUGCUACAUUUGAUGAGGUGGUUGACAUUGCUCGAGAGAUAGAGUCUGUCCGCAGCCAGGAGCAAGUUGAGAGGGUGGCCAAGAGGCCUCGUGGAUCAGGUAGUUUUGGUGGUUUUCCUUAUUGAGGUUAGUUCCAGCACGUCAUAAGUCAUUUUUAUAGACAUGCUCAGACGACCCGACCAGUUCAUUGUGAUGGGUUAGUCAGCCACAGUUCUCACAUUGCUCGCUCUGGCCAACCUUCAUUUAGUGUACUACCAGUUCAGAUUUCCCACCAUUCCUCAUCCUCUCAGCUUUUUACGGGUAGUUCCGUCAGAGGAAGGGUUGUUUCGAGUGCGGGGAUCUUGGUCCUCUCAAGAGAGAUUUCCCUAGGUUGUUGGGCAGGACUCCACAAUAGAGUUAUUGGUGAUUAGAACUAACACUAGUAGCUAUACCACCCGUUUUGCCAGCUCGGGUGGGCCCUAGUAAGCUAGAGGUUGCCCUAUAUGGGGAGGCCAAUCAGGUGGCGAUCAGCUCAUUUCUAUGCACUCCCUGCCAGACCAGAUGCCGUUGCUUUAGACACAGUGAUCACGGGUAUUAUCUUUGUAUAUCAUCGAGAUGCUUAUGUAUUAUUUGACCCUGGUUCCACCUAUUCAUAUGUGUUGUCGUAUUUUGUUCAUUAUCUAGACAUGCCCCAUGAGUCUCUAGUUUUAUCUUUUCAUGUAUCUACGCUAGUAGGCGAUACUAUUGUUGUGGACUACAUAUUUCGAUUGUAUGUAGUGACUAUUAUGAGAUUAAAGAGCAUAGUUUAUUUGUUGCUACUUAGUAUGGUUGAUUUUGAUGUGAUAUUGGGUAUGGAUUGGUUGUAUCUAUUUCACUUUAUUCUAGGCUGUCACACUAAGACUGUGAUAUUGGCGAUGCCGGGGUUGCCAUGGAUUAAGUGGAGAGGUAUUUAGACUAUGUUCCUAGUAGAGUGAUUUCAUACUUGAAGGCCCAACAUAUGGUUCUGAAGGGUUGUCUUUCCUAUUUGGCCUUUAUGAGGGAUGUCAGUGCAGAGACCCCUGUUGUUGAUUCUGUUCUGGUGGUGUGAUAUUUUUCGGAUGUGUUUUUUGUAUACCUAUUAGGCAUGCUGCUGAACAUGAAUAUUGACUUUGGUAUUGAUUUGGUGCUGGCACUCAGCCCAUUUCUAUUCCACCGUAUCAUAUGGAAUCGGCGGAGUUGAAGGAAUUGAAGGAGUAACUUUAGGAACUCCUUGAUAAGGUGUUUAUUUGGCCUAACAUGUCAUCUUGGGGUGCACCAGUUCUAUUUGUAAAGACGAAGCAUGGUACCAUAAGAACAUGCAUUGAUUAUAGGUAGUUGAACAAAUUCACAAUGAAAAACAAGUAUCCCUUGCCUCGUAGUGAUGAUCUAUUUGACCAGCUUCGAGGAUUGAGGGUGUUCUCCAAGAUUGAUUUGAGGUCAGGUUAUCACCAGUUGAAGAUUAGGGACUCGAACAUUCUUAAGACAACUUUCAAGAUCAGUUAUGAUCAUUUUGAUAUUCUUAUGAUAGUUUUUGGGCUACCUAAUUCCCCAAUAGCAUUCACGCAUUUGAUGAACAAUGUGUUUUGACCUUAUCUUGACUUGUUUGUUAUUGUAUUCAUUGAUGAUAUCCUGGUGACUCUCGUAGCUAGGAGGAGUGCACCCAACAUUUGAGUGUUGAAUUGCAUCAAUUGAGGGAGGAGAAGCUUUAUUCUAAGUUCUCCAAGUGUGAGUUUUGGCUCAGUUCAGUGGCUUUCUUGGGGCACGUGGUGUCCAGUAAUGGUAUUCAGGUUGAUUUAAAAAAGAUAGAUACAGUUUAAAGUUGGCCCAGACCGUCCUCAACUACAGAGAUUCAGAGCUAUCUAGGUUUGGCUGAUUAUUACCUUUAGUUCGUUUAGGGUUUCUCGUCUAUUGUAUUGCCCUUGACCUAAAAAAGGUGCUAAUUUCAGGUGGUUGGAUGUAGUGUGAGGUGAGCUUUCAGAAGCUCAGGACUGCCUUGAUCAUAACUCUAGUCCUAGUUCUACCAUCAGCUUAUGGUUCUUAUACAAAAUAUUGUGAUACUUCUCAUAUCGAUAUUGGGUGUGUGUUGAUGCAGGGGGUAGAGUAAUUGCUUAUAGUUCACGCCAGUUGAAGCCCCAUGAGAAGAACUAUCGUGUUCAUGAUUUGGAGUUGGCUGCCAUUGUUCAUGCGCUGAAGAUUUGGAGACACUAUCUCUAUGGUGUGUCUCUUGAGGUAUUUACUGAUCAUCAUAGUCUUUAACACUUGUUCAAAUAGAAGGAUCUCAAUUUGAGGCAGCAGAGAUGGUUGUAGCUGCUAAAGGACAAAUUAUAUUACUAUUCUAUAUCAUCCGGGAAAGAUCAAUGUGGUGGCCGAUGCCUUGAGUAGGAAUAUAGAGAAUAUAGGUAGUCUUGCAUUCAUUCUUGUUGGGGAGAGACCUCUUGUAGUUGAUGUUCUAGCUUUUGCCAACCAGCUUGUGAGAUUGGAUAUUUUGGGGUCCAGUCGGGUUCUAGCUUGUGUGGUUUCUCGGUCUUUCUUAUUUGAUUGCAUUAGAGAGCACCGGUAUGAUGAUCCUCAUUUGCUUGUCCUCGAGGAAAGAGUUCAGCACGGUGGUGCCAGAGAUAUGAAUAUUGGUGAUUAUGGGGUGUUGAGAAUGUAUGGCUGGAUAUGUGUGCCCAAUAUGAUGAGCUACGGAAGUUGAUUCUUGAAUAAGUCCACAGCUCGCGGUAUUCUAUUUAUCAGUGUGCCGCAAAUAUGUACCAGGAUUUGAGACAACACUAUUGAUGGAGGAGAAUGAAGAUAUAUAGUUGGUUUGUAGCUCGGUGUCUCAACUAUCAGCAGGUAAAAUAUGAGCAUCACAGAUCGGGAAGCUUGCUUCAGAAAAUAGAGAUUCUGGAGUGGAAGUGGGAGCGAAUCACCAUGGAUUUUGUAGUUAAGCUCCCAUGUACUUCGAGGAAGUUCGAUUCCAUUUGGGUGAUUGUGGAUCGCUUGACCAAGUCCGCACACUUCAUUCAUGUGAGUACUAUGUAUUAUUCAGAUCGAUUGGCUGAUAUUUACAUUAGAGAGAUUGCUCUCCUGUACGAUGUACAAGUUUCUAUCAUUUUAAACAGAGGCACGCAGUUUACAUCACAGUUUUGGAGAGCCGUGCAGUGAGAGUUGGGAACUCAGGUUGAAUUAAGCACAACAUUUCACCCUUACGUCACAGUUUUGGAGAGCUGUGAAGUGAGAGUUGGGAACUCAAGUUGAACUAAGCACAAUGUUUCACCCUCAGGCAGAUGGACAGUCUGAGUGCACUAUUCAGAUAUUUGAGGACAUGCUACGCGCUUGAGUCACUGAUUUUUGUGGUUCAUGGGAUCAGUUUCUACCACUCGCAAAGUUUGCUUACAAUAAUAGCUAUCAGUCGAGUAUUCAGAUGGCUUCGUAAGAGGCUUUAUAUGGGAGAGUGUAAAUCCCCAGUGGGUUGGUUUGAGUCGGGCGAUGCUAGGCUAAUGGGUACUGACUUAGUUCAUGAUGCUUUGGACAAGGUGAAAUUGAUUUAGGAGCAGCUUCGCACUGCUAGCCGAGAUAUAAGAGUUAUGCUGACAGGAAGGUCCGUGACGUACCUUACAUGGUUGGGGAGAUGGUUCUCCUGAAGGUAUCACCUUGAAAGGUGUUAUGAGGUUCAGGUAGAAGGGAAAGUUGAGCCUUCAGUUCAUUGAUCCUUUUGAGGUACUUCAGAGGAUUGGGAAGGUGGCUUACAAGCUUUCCGUACCACCUAGCUUAUUGAGUAUGCAUUCGAUAUUUCAUGUUUCUAUGCAUCGGAAGUAUAUCGACGAUCCUUGUCAUGUUUUAGAUUUUAGCACGGUUCAUUUGGACGGUGAUUUGACUUAUGAUGUAGAGAUGAUAGUUAAUUUGGAGCGGCAGGUUUGGAAAUUAAGGUCAAAGGAUAUAGCUUCAGUGAAAGUGCAUUAGAGAGGUCAGCCAAUGGAGGAGGCUACUUGAGAGAUCGAACGGGAGAUGCGGAGCAUAUAUCCAUGCCUAUUUAUGGCUCCAGGUAUGUUUAUAUAUGCGUUUGAGGACACACAUUUGUUUAUGAGGGGUAGGGUGUAACGACUCGACUGGUUGUUUCAAGAUUUGUAGCCUUGUUCCCCUAUUUUCUGAUUCUUUUGUAUUCUACAGUUGUACUGUGACUUACUGAGUUAGUUAGUUUGGAUGUAGAAUGAUUUCAGAGUGAAUUGAGACACUUAGUCUCUUAUUUGGAAGCUUAAGCUAGAAAAUCUGAUCGAAUGUUGACUUAUGGGCGAACGACCUCAAAUAUGAAUUCGAUGGUUUUGUUAGCUCCACUAGGUAAUAUUGGACAUAGGAGCGUGUCGAAUUUUAAUUUGGAGGUCAGUAGUAAAAUUAGGCUUGAAUUGCGAAAAGUAAAAUUUUUGAGAGUUUGACCGGAAGUGGACUUUUUAUAUCGGGGUCAGAUUGGACUUUCGAAAGUUGGAGUAGGUUCGUGGGUGUAAUUUAUGACUUGUGUGCAAAAUUUGAGGUCAAUUAGACGUGGUUUGAUAGGUUUCGACAUCGUUUGUAGAAUUUGGAAGUUUCAAAGUUCAUUAGGCUUGAAUUCCUGUGUCAUCAUGUUUUUGAUGUUGUUUGAGGUGAUUUGAGGAUUUGACUAAGUUCAUAUCGGGUUAUUAGACUUAUUGAUGUGUUUGGAUGAGUUCCCCUGGGGCCUAGGGAUGAUUUUGGGUGGUUAACGGACUUGAAGUUUGAUGUUGAAGGAUGGCUGAAGCUGUGCUAUUUCUUGUGUAACCGCACCUGCUGAGUGGUUACCGUAGGUGCGUUCCCGUAGAAGCGGGAAGAGGGCGCAAAAACGGUCUAGGUGGAGGAAAGUUGGAAUCGCAGGUGCGAAGUCUUUCCCCCACCUACGAGGCAGCAAGUGUGGGUAUUGGGCCACAAAAGCACAUGGGUGCUAGGUGAGGGAGCUUCACAUAAGAGGACGAUCCAUCGCAUAAGCACUUAAGUGAAUUGCAUGUGUUGUUUUACUAGGCAGAACCUAUAAAUAGAAGACUUCAAGAUUUUUUACCAUUUUCAUAUUUUGGAACUCAGAUUUUGGAGGAUUUUGAAGUGAUUACUAAGUUAAGCUCCUUGUGCCCAUUUAUCUUUAAUAAUGAUGUUUAAUGAUGUUUCCCCACUGAUUUUAUACCUACUUUAUGGGUUGUUGGUCCAAGUUCAGGUGAAGGUUUGAAUAAUGACAAAUGAAUUCAGUCAUGGACAGUCCAUCAUGUGAGGCACAAUGUUUAUCAACCUAUACAUGUGAGAUGCACGUGAAGGAGAUAAGUUCCAUUGCUCAAGCAGCAUUAUCUCCUGAACUAAUCGAAAAGAUUGCAUAUUGGAUGAGGAGAGAAAUUCUCCUUAUGUGAAGAUAACACAAUCUGGAGAAAAGAUAGGGUUGGAAUUUGCGUUGUUCAAGGACUCAACUUCGAUGGAAGAUCAUCAAUUGAGUCUCAAUCAAACUUUAAUUACUAACUCAUUAAAUAACAGUGAUUGUUCUCUUUUAGAGGCAUCACACAUACGCAAAAGUUAAACUAAAUUGAGAGAAAAAGAGCAAGACAAUUUUGCAACAAUUUAUAUGAUAUUCGAGUGUGCACUCCUGAAGCUACUUGAACAAGAUAGAAGAACCAGUUCCAUUGUAUUUUUUCUUAUUCUAGUUCAAUUGUAGUCGGUGGUUUAAAGUUGUACCUUCCAGCUUUCAUAGAAGAAUCUAUAGUAGGUACUUUGAGUGUUCAAGUUAUAGGCUAACUUGAAAGUGUCACAACAGUUGAGGUUGUGUGCUACAUAUGGGUUAGAGUUAAUCCUUAGGUUUAAAAAGAGUUUUGUAAAUGCUGUUUUGGCUCAGUGAUUUUAGUGGAAGUUUGGGAAAAUCCCACUAAGUGGUAGGUCGUGGUUUUUUUCACCUUUUGAGCCAGGUGUUUUCGACAUAAAAAUCUCUAUGUUAUUUAUUUUAUAUACUUUUAAUUCCGCAAACAGUAGUAGUUAGAACACCCAGAAGAACCAAGUUCUUCUAGAGAAAAUUUGGGCACCACACAAGUUACCCCCCUCUUAUGGGGUAUUGACGUUUAGAAUAUCAAUUGGUAUUAGAUCGGGUUAUCCUUAAAGAGGUUAACACCAUAGGAAAUGAACAACAUGAGUGCACCACCUAGGAACUGGGAAAGACAAUCCACUGCCAGGCCUCAAAUCUUCAAUGGACAAUACUAUUCUUGGUGGAAGAACAGGAUGAAAGAUCACAUCAUAGGAGAAGACUAUGAACUCUGGGACAUAGUCAUUGAUAGUCCUUUAGCAACUACAAUGAAGAAUGAGUAGGGGGUGGAUGUGCCAAAGACAAGGGUUGAAUGCACUACUGAAGACCUGAAGAAGUGGGAGAAAAAUGCUCUGGCCAAGAAAUGACUUGUGUAUGGACUAGGUCCAGAUGAGUACAAAAGGAUCCAGAGUUGUACUACUAUUAAAGAAAUUUGGGACUUUUUGCAAGUGUCUCAUGAAGGAACACCUCAAGUGAAUAGAUACAGAGGAACACUGCUGUAUUCUCAAUAUGAAAAUUUUACUAUGAAGGAAGGAGAAACUAUUCAAGAGAUGUAUAAUAGGUUCACUACACUGACAAAGGAACUUAAGUCUCUUGAAAGGAUUAUUCUUGAAAACGAUAAGGUUGAGAAAAUUUUGACAAGGAUUCUUCAAGUCUCAUGGAAAAGCAAAAUCACUGCUAUUCAGGAAUCUAAGAACAUUGCCACUCUCAAGCUGGAUGAAUUGAUUGGAAAUUUUACUGCUUAUUUACUGAGAAGGCAAACUAUGAAAAUGGACACACCCAAAAAAGAGAGAAGACUAGCUCUCAGAAUUUAAGGUUCAGAUCUGGAUGAUGAUGAGAUGGCUAUGAUCACUAGAGAUUUCAAAAAGUACCUGAUGAGAGGAAAGGGUUCUUCAAGAGGUACAACCUUCAACAAGCCAAGGGUUCAUGAGAAACAGAUCAAUGAGGGGUGCUCCAAGUGUGUUAAGACUGAUCACAUGAUCAAGAAAUGCCCUCAAUGGGAAAUUGAGUGGAAGAAGGAAAGGGUUGAACGAAGUAACAAGAAUAAGGAACAUGUUCAACCAAAAAGGAACAAAGGAUCAACAAAGGCUAUGGUUGCUGCCUGGGAGAAAUAUCAAAUGAGGAUUCAGAAGGUGAAGCUGAAGAAUAACAUGCUCUUAUGGACAUUGGAGAAUCAGAUGAUGAACGAGAGGUAAGCAUUCUUCAUCUCAAAGACAAGAUUAAAUUUCUAUCGAAAGAAAGGUUAUCUGAGUUGUUACUAUACUUUAUUGAUGAGUUUGAAAUAAUCAACAAUGAAAAGGAAGAACUAUAUAGGGAAUGUGUGAUCCUAAAAGCAAGAUGCAAAAGUCUAGAGUUUAGGGCUAAUAAGAGUGUUGUAGAAAUACUGAGUUGAAGAGCCAGGUUAUUGAACUUGACACUAGUGUCCGAGAACUUAGGUCUAAAAAUCUAAAACUGAAACUAGGAGCAGAAAAGAAGAAAGCUGAUCUCACUCUGGAAGAAAACUUAGGAAAAAGAAAGGAUGAAUUGUAUAAGAAGGAUGAAUUGAUUAAAGUCUUAAAAGAAGGUCUAGGAAAAGUGAAACAUGAACUAGACAGAACUUGCAAAUGGAACAGGGCUUUUUAUGCACUUUCUUAGUUGCAAGAGCAUCACAGAAGCAAUAAAAGAGGAUUUGGCUAUGAGACUCAAGCACCAAAAUAGGAUACCAAAAGCAAGUACCUCACACUUCCUGAGAAUAAGAUCUGCACCCACUGUGGCAAGACUGGUCAUUUAUAAAAAUGAAUGUGAUGCAAACGAAAAGGACAGUCAAAAGAACAAAAAAUUUGUUCAAGAAAAGAACAAGUUGCCUGGGUGGGCUAGAAGAAAUCUGAUUUAUCCCUUUGCCCAUAGAAAGUGACCGAAACUAGUUUGGGUUUCUAAGAUUAACCCUUGAUUUCAUUUUGUAGGUCCAAGUGAAAGGAAAUAACCAAAUAUAGUACAUGAAUAGUGGUUGCUCAAAACAUAUAACUGGGAGCAAGGACCAGUUCCUUACAUUUGAAGACUUAAAAUGAGGUAAUGUAUCCUUUGCUAAUGGAAAUAAAGGUGAGAUAAUUGGGGUUGGAAAGAUAGGUAAGACAGACUCUUACUCCAAUGAGAAAGUCUACUUGAUAUAUGGCUUGAAAUAUAGCCUGAUCUGUGUGUCACAAUUGUGUGACAGAGGUAAUCUUGUAACAUUCACCUCUACUAAAUUCUUUGUGAUUAAUCUUACCACUGACAAGAUUGUGUUGCAGAGAAAUAUAUUUAACAAUAUUUACAUUGUAGAUUUCUAUUCUCUCAUAAAAUGAACUCACUUGCCUAAGUGUAAUGGUUAAUGAUCCCCUCACGUGGCACAAAAGACUUGGUCAUGCAAGUCUAAAUCAGUUAAAUAAACUAGUCUCUAAGGACUUGGUGAUAGGGUUACCCAAUAUCAAGUUCAACGAAGACAAAGUUCGUGAGGCAUGUGCAAGGGGGGAACAUGUAAGAUCAUCCUUAAAAAGCAAGAAAAUGGUAAGUACAACCAAUUCGUUGGAACUGGUCCAUAUGGAUCUAUGUGGUCCAAUGAGAACCAUGAGCAGACGUGGAAAGAAAUAUAUAAUGGUGCUUGUUGAUGAUUAUUCUCGAUUUACAUGGGUUCUAUUUCUAACUUCCAAAGAUUAAGCAGUUGACAUGUUCAUUGCAUUUGUUAGAAAAGCUCAGAAACAAUAAGGAAAUCAACUUUCAUCCAUUAGGUCUGAUCAUGGAACUAAAUUUGAAAAUUCCAAGUUUGCUGAAUUCUUUAAUGAAAGUGGUAUAGGUCAUAAUUUCUCUGCACCUAGGGAUCUUCAACAAAAUGGGGUAGUUGAAAGGAAGAAUUGGACUCUUGAGGACAUGGCUAGAACCGUACUGCUUUUUAGUAAAUUGCCCCAUAGCUUCUGGGCAGGGGUUGUAAACACUGCAUAUUACAUAGUCAAUAGAUGUAUGACUAGAUCUCUGGUAGAGAAGAUUCCCUAUGAGUUACUUAGAGGGAGAAAACCAAACAUAUCUCAUCAUAGGGAAUUUGGUUGCAAGUGCUAUGUGCAUAAUAAUGGAAAAGACUUCUUAGGCAAGUUUGAUCCCAGAAGUGAUGAUGGAGUAUUCUUGGGAUAUUAUUCAUAUAGCAAAGGAUAUAAAGUGUUUAAGAAAAUAUCUUUGUGUGUAGAAGAAAGUGUACAUGUAGUAUUUAUGAAACUAACAUUCUUUCUGAGAGACAGGAACAUGAAGGUGAAGCCAUUGAAUUUGUAAAAGGCUUGACUGAAGCCUCAACACAAGUCAAAGUGGGACCAAUAGAAGGAACAUGUUCUUCAACCUAGUGCAACAUGACAGGGGGAACUAAUCAAAGAUGAAUCGAAAUAAAUCCCUUAAAGUAACCUGUUCAUGAGCAUGUUCCUCAGCAACAGAGCACGGGAGAAACAUCUAGCAGAAACAAAUUGGUUGUGAAACCUCAUAAGUAUCAAUGUUCUCAUCCCAUUGAGAACAUUAUUAAUGAUCCAACAUCUGGAGUUAAAACUAUAUUACAAUUAAAGAAUAUGUGUGCUUUUGAUGCCUUUUUGUCUCUUAUUGAACCUAAAAAUAUUAUUUAGGCUUUGCAGGAUACAGAUUGGGUGAUUGCUAUGCAAGAUGAACUCAACCAGUUUGAAAGAAGUCAAGUUUGGCAUCUAGUUCCAAGACCCAAGGACACAUCAGUCAUUGGUACAAAAUGGGUCUUCAGAAACAAACUUGAUAAAGAUGGAACAGUUACAAGAAACAAGGCAAGAUUAGUGGUCCAAGGCUACAACCAAGAGAAAGGCAUGAACUAUGAUGAGAAUUUUUGCAAGACUAGAGGCAAUCAAACUCAUUAUAGCCUUUGUAGCAUACAUGAAAUUCACUCUUCAUCAAAUGGAUGUCAAAAGUGCCUUCUUGAAUGGGUACCUGAAAGAAGAUGUUUUUGAAAAACAACCUCCAGGGUUUGAGGAAGAUGUUUUUGAAAAACAACCUCCAGGGUUUGAGGGCAAGGAAUGUCCUGAGCAUGUGUACAAGUUAGACAAGGGUCUCUAUGGGCUCAAGAAAACACCAAUAUCAUGGUAUGAAAGAUUGUCCAAAUUUCUGCUGGAGCAUGGUUACAAAAGAGGUAAAAUUAAUAGUACCUUAUUCUUAAGGGAAAAGGUAAGGAUCUGCUUGUUGUGCAAAUAUAUGUCGAUGACAUAAUCUUUGGGGCCACCAGUGAUAAGCUGAGUAAGGACUUUGCAAAAUUAAUGGGGAAUGGGUUCGAAAUGAGCAUGAUGGGUGAGCUUAACUUCUUCUUAGGCUUAUAAAUCAAACAAAGUACAAAUGGAACCAUGACCCACCAACAGAAUUAUGCAAUAAGCUAAUCAAAAAGUUUAAAAUGGAAGAAUCAAAGAAAUAGAUACACCCAUUGCAACUGCUACUACAUUAGAUAUUGAUGAACCCGGCUCAUUAGUUGAUCAAAAGUUGUAUAGGGGGAUGAUUGGUUCACUUCUGUAUCUUAUUGCCAGCAGACUUGACAUUGUUUUCAGUGUAGAGUUUUGUGCUCACUUUCAGGCCAACCUAAAAGAGUCUCACCUGACUGCUGUCAAGAGGAUACUAAGAUAUCUGAAAGACACCAUUGAUCUGUGUCUUUGGUACCCCAAAGGUAGUAAUUUCAAUCUAGUAGGAUAUUCUGAUGUUGAUUAUGCAGGUUUCCUAGUGGAUAUGAAAAUCAACUCAGGUAUGACACACUUCCCUGGUUCAUGUAUUGUGUCAUAGGCUACUAGAAAGCAAAAUCUAGUGGUCCUAUCUAUUGUUGAUGCUGAGUAUGUUGAUCCGGCCUCUUAUUAUGCUCAAUUGCUAUUGAUCAAAUAACAGUUGGUAGAUUUUGGCAUUGAAGUUGGUUGUGUUCCUAUAUUCUGUGAUAACGCUAGUGCUGUAAGUAUGACAAAGAACCAUGUUCAUUAUAAGAGGACUAAGCACAUAGAUGUUAGACACCACUUCUUAAGAGAUAACUAUGAGAAAGGAUUGAUCUCUAUAGAAUUUUGUGCUACUGAGAAAUAAAUUGUUGACAUCUUCAUUGAAGCACUUAGUAGAGAAAACUUUGAGAGGAACAAGUUAGAAUUAGGGAUGAUUAAGAUCACCCUAAAGGGCCCAGCUUAGAAUGCACAAUGAAAAAAAACUAUGGCUAGGAAUUCUAACCCUAUGUAAACAAUAGGAUUAAUUCUUACUUAGUUUCAUACUUUAAUUAGUAUACUUUUGUGACAUGUGUAUAUAUGACUCACUGAUCUCUUAUAAAAAAAAAUUAUUAUGACAUUUGAGGCGUGUUCAAGAGAGUUCUAUAUGAAGAACAUGGUUCAUCAGUAUGUGUUCAUAUGAAAGCUCAAUAUAGUUUCAUACUUUAAUUAGUAUACUCCUCUGACAUAUGUAUAUAUGACUGACUGUUCUCUUACAAAGUUUUUUCUAUUAUGGCAUUUGAGGCAUGUUCAAGAGAGUUCAAUAUGAAGAACCUGAUUCAUCAGUAUGUGUUCAUAUGAAAGCUCAGGUAUAUUUUUUAUACUUUGCACAAUUAGAAAGAUCAAUUGUCCAAUUAUGCGCAGAAGUCCUACACUCGUCUAACUCCUAAAAAUUCUAUCUGUUGAGCACUGAACCAGUUCCAUUCUACUAGAACUCUAAAAUUCGGGAUUUUUGCCUAAAAUCUAGGGAACCCUAAUAUUCAUUAGACUGGAAUUACACCUUGACUAGACCUCUAAUUAACUCCUGAAAAGUAAUUGUUACUGCAUUUAUGUCUAAUUGUCUUUAAAUACACACCAUACCUCUUCUUCGUAAUUCCAUAAUCGUUAAAAUAUUUCUCCAAUUAUGAUCGCCUUUCUUCUCCGAAAAUCCCCAAAUUCUAACAAGAAACAAUCAACCAUGUCUAACCCACAAAAUAAUCCCUGCACUCCCCUACCAACAUCUCCCUCUAAUUCAUCCUCAUCUACUCCUCCUAGUGAAUCCCCAAAGCCUAGGUCUCGAAGGAAAAAUAUGUUGGAUAGAAAAUAUGUCACCUCUGGAGAAUUAAUGAAGGUUUGAAACAAGAAAUUGAAAGCUAGCAAGUCUAAAUAAAGCUCAAUUCAAUAAUCCGACUCUAGUUCUAAGUCACACUCGUUUAAGUAUGCUAGUGAAGGUGAAGAACAUGGGCCUUCUAACACUGAGAAAAUUCAAGAAACACAUGCUGAGGUAAGUUCUUCUAUGG
rnacentral:lncRNA from 1 species